UUUUUUCAUUGGUGAAACACUGUCUUUUCAAUCCGGAACUUUGAUUUUGAAGCUAUAUAUAUAAGCAUUCUGUGGAGAAUUAUUAAGGAAUCGAUGGUUUAUUAAUUGCUUAGCUUCAUAAGCAAAUUAUAUGUUUGAAAAUGCUCUAAUCCUCUGUCCAUUUGAACAUGAUUCCAAAAAUGUUUAGUUAUCAGCUUUGAUUGCAAAGUUCCUUUUUUCUCAAAUUUAGUUCCUAGAUUUUAUCAUCUGCCUCAAAUAGGCUUUCUUGGUUGUAUGUUACUGUUUUUUAUAAUUUUAUUUUAGAAAGCUAUAGCAGUUGCUUCUAAUUUAGCUUGUAGUUUUGGAAUCUCCUUUUAUCAUUGCACCUGUUUCUAAAUCACAAUUGAAAGAUUUCUUUAAAACUAGCAGGUCCAUUAUUGGUACAUGCAGGCUAGACAUGUGCUACACUAUAGGAUUGUAGGCUGUCAUUGCCCAUGGCUAAUUGGGUAUGGUUCUAAACUGUCUCAACUGGAAGCUUUAAUCCUAAGGGUAGUUUGGCACAGGAAGAAUAUUCUCGUCCUCCUAUUCUUACUUGGGCAAGGGUAUUCUAGAAAAGAAUAUUGCAAUUCCCCUAAAAAAUAUUCUCACAUACCCUUAGGAGUAAACUGUCUCAAUUGAGAAUAUUUUUUAGUGCUUGAUUCAUGUGAGAAUAUUUUUUAGGGGAAUUGCAAUAUUCUUUUCUAGAAUACCCUUGCCCAAGUAAGAAUAGGAGGACGAGCCUCCACCUAGCUGAGAUUCGGAUCCUUAUGAACACCUGGAGCUACUAAAGAAAAAGGUAAAUGAAUGCUCCAAUGCUUAUAACUAAUUAUUUGCUGUUAGUUUUUCAUUUUUUUGGAUUUAUUUUUAGUUUUGCAAUGAAUAGGAGAGUAAGGGAUGGAAUUAGAAAGAGGAGGGAUGAUGAUGGCAACGACAUGAUGUCAAUAUAAAUGCAACACCGUAGUAUAAUCUCCGCUGGAAUGAAUACCUGUGCACCAAACAAGGCCUGUGUCUGUUGGACCGAGCUAAUGGUAUAUAAUGUGGAGAUUGAAGACCACAGAAAAAGUGAAAGGUUUCAUAAAGUAUGGUGCAAUCUAUUAGUAAAAUUUUGGUCUUAUCAUGAAAUAGUCAUUGAUUUAGAAUGACUGUUUACCAAGUUUGAUGAAUGACAAAAAUUACUAAAACUGAAAUUACUAUCUAUGGGAAGCAUAAAACUAAAGUCUAGGUAAGAGAAAGGCAUGAUAUAAAGUAUGAGCUACUGUUUAUCUCGUUCCUACUACACUAAGUUCUGGAGAUUUAUUUUAAAAACUUACAAAUCACAUGAUGAGUUCCUAGCAUAACAAACUCCCUACCAUAGCCAUACUUGCUAUAACAUCUUUUACUAUAUUCACAUUGAAUUUGAUAGAGCUGUGUAGACCCUUAGGAGCUUUUCAUGUGGUUAAAUUAAGAUAUUCACUUGCACACAUCCACUACACCAUUCACCACCAUUCAUUAAAAUUGCUAAAAAAUAUAUUAUCACUCACUGUCCCAAAUGUUGUUAUUCUCUCUCUAAAAAGAUUCAAUGCAGAAGAGGCAUGGGUUAUGCAAAAAUAUGCGAGGAAAUAAAAAGGGGCAAGUGCCCGGAACCUCGAAAAGAAAAAAAAGAGAGUGAGACGAGAGGUAAAAAUGGACAAGUGUCCGGAGUAGAAUUAGGGGUACAAAGAUGCCCACUUGAGCGGAAAAAAUAGACAAGUGUCCGGCAGUAGAAUUAGGGGUAUCUACUACCCACCUGAAAAAAAAGAGAAAAGAUAGUCCAUGUUCUCCCAAAGCAAAGAUCAAAGAAGAGGAGAGAUAGCAAUAUGAAGAGCAAUGAGAAGUAAGUUUUAUUAUCACUUAUACAUUACUAUCAUUUACUCCACCACACAUGCACAUCUUGAUUUAAUUAUAUGCUGAGUUCCUUUGGAUCCAUGGCUCGAUUAGACAACAUAUGUAUGAGCUGUUUUCCACUCCUAUGAGCUCCACUUAAAUAUUCCAUUAGCUAUAGGUAAGUGACAUUUUGGUAAGGAUCCACAAAUACCACAUAUAGAGAGACUUGAGAGAAUCAUUGUUGGGAACUCUGAGUUUUAUUUUUGAAAACUUAUGCAAAACUCCAGAACAAAGGUGAAGUAUAGACAGGAGGAAUAGUGCUUGACUUAAUUAUUUUGUCUUUCGAUUACUUAAGACUUAAGUGCAGGUACUAAGCUCCAUGACACUUCACUCUAAUCUAGAAGAAUUUUUUUGUGAAAGCAUGUGUGUCUGUCAGGAAAGAAAACAUCGAAGCAACUCCUGAUUCAUCUGAGUUUAGCUGUUUGCUCAGGGACGAGCAAAGGGUAAGCUUGGGAGAGUUUGUUGACGGUCCUUAAGUACUAAAUUUAACCAUCAACUAAACAUGGAAAAGGAUCAAUAUGCACCAAACAUCUAGAAUUAGGGUUUUAUCUGACAGAAUUCCACGAGCUUUGGUGUUUAUCUAUUUCUACAGAGGGUUAUCAGAAAAUAUGGAGAGAAGGCCCACAUGUCAUGUUACAACGAGAUAAUUACGUGUCGCGCAAUUUUCCUUAAUCUAGAAGAGUCCAGAAGCCACGGGAACGAACGAAAGACCGGACGGGCUCGGGGGCAGGGCGCCCGCCCUCCCCCUUGGGCGCCCGCCCUGGCCUUAGGGCCAAUCAGAACCAAUCUUCUGGAUCGUGCUCCACCGACCUAAAGGAUCAAGGAAAACCGUGCGAUCAAUGUCGGUUUGAUCCGACGGCCUAAAUUCACUUGAAAGGACUAUAUAAUCAAGGCCUCUCCACCCCAGGGGGAGAGGAGAAAUCAUUAUUUAGAGGUAGCCAUCAAAGUUAGAGUUUAGACAUCUCUCCCACAAAGAAUUAGAAUUAGCUACUCCCUAAUCCUUCAAGUUUAGAGGAUUGAUUAGAUAGAAAUUAGAGAAGUAGAGCACUACGCUCUGGAUUCAGAUCUUCGGUAAUAAAGAUUGGUAUUAUUUCAUAUCUUUCUCUAAUACUUUGUUCUAAUUGCAUUAUGUCUCUAUUUAUUAUGCUCUUAGUUUGCUCUAGUUCUAUAUUUGAUAUAGUUAUAAUUGAUAAUGAGUUUAUGUAUAAGUUUGCAAAGCGCUUAGCUCUUGACACGUGGGAGUUAAGUGGUAGAUCAUAUGUAGGCGUGGUGCUUAGAUAUUAUUUACCUGCAAAUGUAUCCUAUUGGUCGGGUUGUGUGAUAGUUCGCGAUAGUGACAGCUUCGUUGAUUCUUAUAUAGUCCACCCUCCGUUGAUAGGACAGGCAGAAUUUGUAUUGCGGAGUAAGUCUUGCAAUGCUCUGAUUUACUUUAGCAAUGUUCCUUAUACAUGAAUGAAGAGUCUUUUAUGCUAUAUAUGAUCUUGUAGAUAACUAGAGUACAUUGUGACUUAGUAGAUAGUAGAUAACUUAGAAUCCAUUCUCUAGCUAAUCCGACGUCACCUUACAUAUAUGAGGAGUAGUCUAUUUUCUAAUCGCUGUGUUAUUUACCCAUGAACUUAUAAUUCAUUAUCAUUAUCUUUAUGGUUUACCCUCUGCCAAAGUAAGUGACUAUGUGACGAAUUCCUCAUUAGUAAUCAUGUUCUUGCAAGUUUAUCUCUAGUCUAUGCCUUGAUAGAUUUAAUCCUUAUCUUAAUUUCACCUUUGUCCUCUUAAGCAAAAUUAUAAAUAACGAUACCUGGAAUACUUUCCUGGUGAAAUGCUACAAUGAGGUGUUUUAUCUGUGCGCUUGCGGAUAGAAUAGAUUAUUUUCUAGAGAGCCUCCAUAUUUAUAAAUACCUUUGUACACUCUGGCACCAUGCUGAGGAUGACAACCCAGUAUCUAAGUGGUGUUAGCUAGUGUCAACAAGCAUUUCUGGCGCCGUUGCCGGGAAAGAAGGGGAACAGUAAGGAAAGUUAGGAAAUCAGUCAAGGUUAUUCACAUAAAAUAUUAGACUAGACUAUAGAGAAAUAAUUGCAUAAAACAGCUACUAAGUGAGAAAUCAUAACAAGGCACCUCUGCUUUGGCAGGUUCACCCUAUUGUUUUUCUAUGUUUAUAUUUUUACACAGGGUAUAUCAGGAUUGACUUUGGUACAUUCAACUCUUCAUCAUCAAAACCAAAGCAAUCAAGAAAGAAAGAAGAAGCUAGCUACCAAUUGCUGAAGCUAUGACACAGAAGACCUUGCAAGAAUUCUCUGCUCCAAGCCUUGAGAACAUUCCAACUGGUCCAAGAUUUGCAGUAGAAGAAGGAGCACCCGAGUUCGAGCUCAAGUCAAGCCUCAUCAAUUUGGUACAAGCUACACAAUUCAGUGAAAAGGCACAUGAAGAUGCUAGUGCACGCUUGCAGAAUUUCUUAGAGAUUGGAAGCACAAUCCACAUCAACGGAGUCGACAAAGACGUCAUACUGCUUCGCCUUUUUCCAUUAUCAUUAGAAGGGAAAGCGAGGAAGUGGUUCUACAUUCAUCAAGAUAACAUCAACAACUGGACGAACUUGUCAGAUGCCUUUCUAUCAAAGUUUUUCCCUAUAGGCAAAACAACUGCCUUAAGAGGAAAUAUUGUCAGUUUCCAAUAGCAGAAGACACUUUGAGAAGGAGGUGGAGUUCAAAUGUAGAACUAGAAUAAACUAGGAACAUAAUAAAUAGAAACAUAAUGAUAUUUAGAAUAAAGUCAAAAGAGAGAUAAAAGAUAACACCAAUCUCUGAUGAUGAAGAUCCGGAAAUUUAGAGCACAGGCACCUGACUCUUCCUCUAUCUAAUCUAAUCCUAUGUAGAAGAUGAAGAUUAGGAGUAGCUAAUCUAUCUCUAAUCCUUGGCUCUAAUGGCUCCUUGUAAUUCUCACAUGAGAAUAAAAAUGUAAUUAUGUUUUUCUCUCACAAUUCUAAGCUCUCCUCUAGGGGGGUAGGCUUGUAUUUAUAGCCCCCUAGGAAGCACCACAGCCCUUGGAUCAAACCGACUUAAACGUGCGCUGAAGAUUAAUCCUCAAAGUCGGUGGAGGCAGGAUCCGCGAGACAGAACCUGAUUGGUUCUUGCCCCUGGGCAACCGCCCUUGCCCCCCUAGGCGCCCACCCCUGCCCUAUGGUAGGUGGGCCCCAACUUUCAAGGCACGUCUUCCCGAGUCUUCUAGAGUUGACGUUCGGGUCUUCUCUCUAUGUAAAUCCGACAUGUGGGCCUUCUUUUGUUAUUAUUUUGAUAUCCCCCUAUAGAAACAGACAUUCACCAAAACUCGUGAAAAUUGUCAGUAAAAACCCUAAGUCUAUGGUGAUGUUCAGUUUUUAUCCCCUUUCUUCUCCUUGGUUGACAUAUAAUUUUGAUGGUUAACAACCGUCAACAGUCUUCCUAGAUCUCCUUUCUUUUUUGGCAUAUCCUCUUCUCCCCACACUGGUCUUAGUGGUCUGGGUGGUGCAAUGAAGUAUUCUCCUACAUUAAAGAUACCUACAAGAUUUGCAGUUUCUAAUUCAUCCAGAUUCCCCAGAAUCUUACCUUUUUUAGCCAUAGGUACUGAAGCUGCUAGCUGAGAGAUUUGAGAUUCUAUCAUCUUAUUAAAGCUAAGUUGAUUCUUUAUGUCAGAAGUAAAGUUAUCCAUACUAUUAGUUAUAGAUUCAAGAAUUUUAUCAUUGGAAGCUAUCUUUCUAGACAUACUAUCAAUAACUUUAUUUGAUUAACAAUCAUCUCUCUCAAAGGUGGUUGGUUGAAAUUAUUACCUUGUAGUUACCUAAGUAAUUACCUAAGUAGUUUGAUCUUUGUUGCUGAUUCCACCCUUGAUUAUGUUGGUUCCAUCCUUGAUUCUAUUGAGGAUGAUAGUUGGUGUUGUUAUUGAUGUAAUUGACAUCCUCUUGGACUUCAGGAUAGUUGCUUCCCAUAUGGCCAGUGCCUCCACACUCUUCACAUGUUAUGCGUGAAUCAUGGACGAGCAUGACUUCAUUCUUCUUCUAUUGAUCACGUUCAUCAAGCUUCAUGAGUAGGUCCAUUUUGGUAGACAGCAUGUCUAGACUUGAUGCAUUCCUCUUUUCUUGCGUGAUUGAGUGUGUUCUUCAUUCCAUCCCUGGUUUAAGCUAUCUUCUCAACAAGAGUGGUGGCUUCAUGAAUAGUGAGUGACAAAAAUGAUCCUCCAGCAGUUGCAUCUAUAUUCUCACAAGCACUAGUAGUGAGCCCAUGAUAGAAUGUCUACAUGAGUAGCCAAUCCUCCAUCCCAUGGUGAGAGAAUUCUGAUAUGUAAUCUUGAAAGCGUUCCCAAGCCCUCGGAACAAAUUCAUAGUACUGCUGCUGGAAAGUUGAGAUAUUUGCACGUAGGGCAUUGCUUUUGCCUAUGGGAAAGAACUUUGCUAGGAAAGCAGCUGAGCAGAUAUUCCAUGUAGUAUUUUUCUCUCUGUUGGAGUAGAACCAUUGCUUCACCCUUCCCAAGAGUGAAAAUGGAAAAGGCAGAGUAGUAUGGCAUCUCUUUCAACUCCCUUGAUGGUGAAUGUGCUGCAUAUCUCUAGGAAAUGUUCGAGAUGGGCACUUGCAUCUUCAUGUGCUUUGCCACAAAACUAGUUGGCUUGCACCAUGUUGAUCAAAGCUGGCUUGAGCUCGAAUCCUUCUUCUCCCACAUCAACUGCUGGUCCAGUCCUGAUGUUGGCAGUGGUUAGAGUGGAGAAUUCUUGGAGAGUCUUGUUGGACAUGGCUUCAAAUACUGGUGUCAAACUCCUUCUUGGUUGGUCUUCUUCUGACGAGUGGUUGGGGAUCUCUUCUUCCUAAGUUGGGCUUUGGCUUUUCUAAUUAUUUCCUCUGGAUCCUCAAUGUAGUUUGUCGGACGAAGAAAACCAGACAUACAUUACCCUGUAAUAAGAUAUUCAAAAAUAGACAAAAGACAGUGUAAGCCUGUUUGAGUGAAAUAUCAACAGUGUGGCUCGAUUAUCACAUGUGUAAGAUUAUCCUUAGGUGUUCAAAAUAAAUCUAUGUAAACCUCCUUUUUCCUUCCCUAGCAAUAGCGCCAGAAAUGCUUGUUGAUAUUUAUAAUAUAAGAUUCAAACUCUAUCCUAGUAAAGGCAUUAGAAAUAUUUGGGACAUCUCCUAGCAUUGCUUAAGUCAGGUUGUCAUCCCAAACACAACACCAAAAGAUGUAGUUGUACUUAUGAUCAUGGCACUAUAGAAAAUGAAUAAAGGUUAUCCGCAAGCGCACAUAUAAAAUAGACCCAUUGUAGCAUUUCACCUAAGAAAGUUCCAGGUAUUGUUAUUUAUAAUUUUACCACUAGGAAGGCACUUAGAGGUAUAAAAGCUAUAUCUUACACUUGUGAUAAGAGUUCCACUUGAUCAAUACUCGAAAUAGGGAUCAAUCAUAUCAUAAAUAACAAAAGCUAAUUAAUAACAAGUCAACAUAUCUCAAAAGGGUUCCACCGAGCAUUUCCUAUCUAGGCGUGAUUCUAGAAAGAACUAGAAAAUAGAGAUAAAUCCUAGGGUUAUUCUAACUAUAGGUCAUUGAGCUACCCUAAUUAGUGCAAUUAUAUUUAGUAAUCAUAGUCAUGACUUAACUUGUAUCCAUACACAAGAGACAUUGCCAAGAUGGGUCAGGAACAUAGCAAGAUAACACCCCGCAACUCCGCCUCACUAGUCCUAUAUUCGGAGAGUGGACUACAUAGGACUCAACGAAGUUGUCACCUUCGCGAUCUACCAUAUGGCCCGGAACAUAGCGUGCAUUCGUAGAUACACAUUGUCUAAGCACCACGCCAACACAACUUCUACCACCCACCCCUGAGCUCAAAGGGUGAAUGCUAUACGAACAUGUGCAUAAACACAAAGCUAAUCCAACUAUACUAAACAUAUAAUCAAAGUAGGCAAUGAACAUUAUAAUUAUUAUAAUUAUGAAUAUAUAAUUAUACCAAGUCAUAUCAAGUAUUCGACUCAAACACGAACUAGAAUAAGAACUAGGGGGAAUUAUGAACUAGACAAGAACACGAUGAACUAGACGAACUAGAACAAGAACAAGAUGAACUAGAAGAACAAAGGAUGAACUAGAAGAUAAACACAAUGAACUAGCAGGUAAAUAACUCAAAUAUAUUAACAAUAUUGAAUACAAGAGAGAAGUACAAGGCUUUACCUAGCCUCCUCGCGACUAGAUUCGGAAUCCAAGCGUUGCUUGACUCCUCUAAUUCCUAUUCUUAUCUAGUUAUGCCCUAAUUGGUGGAGCUCUAAACUGGACUACGAGAUAUGAUGGAUUGAUUGAUUGAUGAUUGAUCGAUUGAUGCCUCCAGGGGGUCUGCCACUGCUUAUAUAGUCUGGUGGGAAGAACUGCAGCCCUUGGAUCAAACCAACAUAGAACAAGGGUCAAGAUGCAUUGUAGAGAUUGGUUGAAAACCAUCACGCAAAGGAGAGGAGACUGCCAGGUGGGCCCAGGUCGGCCAACCUAGCUAGUGGGGCCGGUCGGCCCCAUCUGGCUGUCGUCGGUCUCUCGCUUCGUUCUCGUGUCUUCUGGUGUCUUCUACAUCCUUCUAGUGUUCCUUUCCAACCCAUUUGCGCAAUGAGUCGUGUCGUGGAUGGAUUCUUUCCUUUUCCAGCUUCUGGAUAAAUCCCUAAAAAAGAUUAUUUCGCAGAGCUGUGGAUUCUUGUCGGUUUAGUCCCUAGUCUUGUAAUGGAUGAUGGUUCUAGGGUCUUCUGGGCCGUAUCAAGGACUCUCUCUCCAAUGCUCCAAAUAUAACAAAUGUCGUCUUGAUAGUCUCGACGAGCUCUCCACAAUGGUGUACCUAGAUUCUUCACUUGAGAUACUUUUAUAUGGUCCUGCAAGAUAAGUGAGAUCAACACAACUUGUGAAACUCGUUAGAAUAACCCCUAUAACCUUACUUUAUAGUUCAUUUUAGGUCUCUUGUGUGAUUGGUUGAUGGUUGAAAAUUGGAGUUAAUUACCGUCAACAGACGUCGUCGCUAGCCAUGCUCGUGGGUACUAAUAGCCUCGCCAUCGAGGCCUAGCUGCACAUGCACUUCCCCAGAGAAAAUCGUGUUCGACACCAUCGUGUCCUCGCUAAGCCUUGAUUAAGCCUUGUUUAAUCCGUAGGUGAAAAGUUUUUGGGUGUCACAUUGGAUGUUUCAUGUGAUGUCGAACACGGUGUUCGAAUAAUAAUUAAAAAACUAAUUACAUAACUAACCUGGAAACCGCGAGACAAAUUUAUUAAACCUAAUUAAUCUGUCAUUAGCACAUGUGUGUUACUAUAGCAAUUAUAGCGAAUUAUAGAUUAAUUAGGCUUAAAAUGUUCAUCUCGUAGUUUCCAUACAAAUUAGUUAUUUUUUAUUAAUAUUUAAUGCUUUAUGUAUGUGUUCAAAUAUUUGAUAGGAUAGAGCGAAAAGUUUUUGAGUGAGAAAAUAGAGCCCGAGGUUGUUCGAGGACCUGCGUGAACAGAUACGGUUCGUGUCCACCAUGCCCGUUUCGAAGAUCAUCUCCAUAGGAGUUCCGUGUGAGAACCAAAGAGACGAGGCACGGGAAGAUGAAAAUAACACUAGUAGCACCUUCCUCUUAUCCACACACUCACGCAACUUAGCUUUUUCCCAAGAACCAUAAACAAAUCUACGAAAUUAACCCAUGAGAGAUGGCUAGGGUGACACCCACAAGUAAACAGAAUGAACUACUGUCCUUUUGCCUCAGGGCUUGUUUAGUUCACAAAUAAUACAAAAACUUUACAACUCAAAUCUUUUUUGCCAUAAAACUUUACAUGUUGGUGUUUAGAUGUAUGCCAAAUUUUUUGGUCUUUACCAAACAAGUAUGAGAGUAUACACGUCACUCGAGGAGAGUUUAUGCAGUUUUGGGUUUCUAAUAAGCUCCUGACCCAAAAGUUUACAGACCUUUUUGCUAUCUUUACAAAGGGUGUUUAGUUCUAAAAUACAAAAAAAUAGAACAAAUCUUAAAUUUUUUGGCAUUUUUGGGAGAAACUAAACAUGCCCUCAAUAUACAAUCUGAACAAAAGGAUGAAACAUGUCAACUCAUUCAGACGAAGGAUUGCUAACCCUGCUGCCAGCAUCAGGGCACUUUCUUACCGUAGCAGGGACUCGCUGAUUAGCACAGGAAAGCACACGAGAUUCCUAUAGCAGGAACUAGCUGAUUAGCACCAAUGUCACAGUGCUCAUGACGUAUUCACCUAUCGAGCCAACUUGUGUAACUUACAACAGUCGAAGUAUGAUAAACAGUACAGCGACAGCACCAAACUAUGGUCUCUUAGAUGAGCAAAACAAGGUCCAUGAGAGCCUUUGAACCAACUUGUAAGUUACAAGAGUCGAAGUCACAUAAAUAACCCAUUAAUAACACAAGUCUAACUUGCAUAUAUCCUAGACAGAUCUGUCAAAUACUAGUAAGCUAGAUAAACAGAAGCAGCACGGCAACAACACCAAAGUUUUUUAGAUACUAGCUAGAUGAGCAGAACAAGGUCAAUUAGAUACUCCAGCAGUGUGAUGUCUAAUUAAGACGCCGCCCAAUAUGCUUGCCUAGAGCAUGAACAUUCGCCUGAAGUUCGCUAUGAUACCAAUAUGGCUUGGGCACCGGCCACCUGCUAUCAAAUAUGUUUUUGUCCCAAUGUAAGUUGGUUGUUGAAUAAAAUACUCUAAGGAAACAUAAACAAGUGGUAAUGCGAAAACAGAAAGAAAUACUUGUUUUUCUGAUUUCCCUUUUUUGUCCCACCAAUAACAUUGAUAGGCAUAGGAUGGUUAUAUCCACUGUCAUCAAACAAAAAAAAUCAAAGUUUGUAAAAUAAGUGUCAUGCAUUUAAGUUAGCAUUGAGAUGAAAAUAAUACCAUUCUGAUGGUAAAGAGUUCACUUGACUUAGAACUUUAACAAUCUUGUGCCUUGGUAAGAAAGGAGUUACACCGCUUCCAUCAUAGAAGUUCAUGCCAACAAAACUCCCAUUAAGAUUAAUAAGCGGGCCUCCAAUCCCAGCCUAGUUACAAUUACAAAAAAGAAAGGCACAAGGUUACUGGAAAACUUGAAAUUCCUGAUAAGUUCAGUAGAUGCAAUAUGGUUAUAUGGUUAAACUGGUUACCAUAUAAAAGAAAAGUAAGAGAGAUUCACCACAGUACCUUCUUGAUUUUACAAGUAGACAACUGAACAUCUUUGCAAUCAAGUUUGCAACCCCUGUUUCCACACUUCAUUUCACCACUUGCGGCCAUUAAUAUACCAAAUUUAGCAUCACGCCCUAUAGCUAUAACCUUUUUAGACGAAUUUUUUGCACUUUCUGUGAAGAUGUCAUCCGGACAAAUAGCAUUGAAAUUCUUCUUGAGACUGACAAUAGCAAUGUUAUAGUCUAAAUUAUAAAAUUCCAAUGUCCCACCAGCACGUUGAUUCGGUGGGAGAAACACCUCAAUCUGCAAUGAGAAAGUGAGCUCAGCAAACCAUCAUUAAACUUAAAAGGCCAAAAGUAAUGAUAAUUGAUAAGGACUAGGGACCACGAACCGUCAAGCUAUCAUCAAUGAUAUCCUCAUUACAACAAUCUCUAACCAAACUGGCUGAAGUCAGGAUGACAGUCUGCUUAGCAUUGCUUCCAAGCUUUAUAAGCAAGCUUGUGCAUGCAAAAGAUCUCACAUAACCUACACAUUAUAAGUUUAACCAUUAGUUAGUGAAGAUAAAAUACUAGCACAGAAUAUUAAGGAGCACACAGCUGGAAAAAUAACCAUUGAAAGAAGCAAGUGAGACAACACGACGGGAUACAUCUGUCACAACUUCUUUUGGAAGUUGAUUCCAGACACACUUCUCAGAGCCACCGGGUGGAUCACCAUAGGGAAACCCUUUCCAAGGAAGUAAUUCACCAAAGCAUUCUUCAAAAUGAUUAAGCAAUCGCCCAUUGACUAGUUAAAGAACGAAGAUCAGAAGUGAACUACAAAAAGGCCAAGGGAGAUGACAGCAAUAUCAAAAGCAACACUUACAUUCAAGCACAAGUGGUGGUGGAAUGGGAUAGCCAUGGGACUUUAACCUGCAAAUAGUUUGCAUAAACCCUGAUACAAUAUUCAGAUCAUUAUUAGUCCUUAGAUAAUAUGUAUGAUACUGGUAACAUUGUAUUCUGCACACAAUGAUACAUAGGCAACAUUUUAGAAGAUGGCUUGCAGUAUUGUUCAAACCUGAAGGAACUACACUUAAUACAUCUCUAGGCAACGCAUAUCCACGGAAGUCUUUUUUAGGACUGCAACAAAACAUAGUUGACUUGUUAUGACAAAAUAAAAAACAGGAACUACAUGGGAAAAAAAACCAAUCAUACCAACACAUGAAUCUAAUCUUGUCUUGUGAAAGAAAUAAAGGUAUGAAAUAAUGACUAGGAAUAAGGCGUAAAUAUUCAACAAAAGGUGAGAGGAUUGAACAUAUUCAUGUCACAAAUAUAGGUUGCAUUGUCCAUAUUGCCACAAAGAACUGUUUAAUUCGUCCUAAUUUAAACCAAAAGAUUAAGCAUGGGCACUAAGUUAGCAUCAUAAGAUCUGGCAAUGGUACUGGUUUCAGUAGAGAGGGAUAAGAAGAACCAAAUUAUUUUCAAUCCAAAGGUUACCAUGUGAAAACUCCUAAGUCUCCAAUGCUGUUGGUAAAAAUGGCUUACCUUAUACAGAAAGUGGAUUAGGAGAGAGGGUUGGGAACAAAUAUGAAUCAGGUUAACUUUUUUCUCAAACUACGCAGGAGAGCUGCGCAUCAUUUCAUUAAGGUAGAGAAGAGAAGUACACGAGUCUAGAGGGACCCAACCCCGAGUACAAAGAACAAACACACACACCCUCACCACUCCACACGAACAAAAACUAAAAACUUGCUACAAAAACAAGAAAAACGAACUGAAGAAAUAGUCCCUAAAUAGUGCAAGUGUAGAAGACAUACUUGAGUAUCUGAAAAUGCUUCAAGCAUUUGCAAAGUAUGUCCAUUGGUAGGAAGGUGUAUCUCAAAUUUGCAUCACCAGAGUCAUAAAUAUCUAAGCUCAUCCCGACAAUAUUAUUAUCCCACCCCAGAAGUGGCCCUCCAAGUACAGCCUAGAACAAAAGCAAAGUGGUAGGUUUAGAAAGGAUUUACUUCAAUGCACACAGUGAUACUUUAGACCAGAAACAUAACACAGUUAUAUGUUCCAUGUUUUCUAUCAUGCCGCAAAGUUACAAAUAAAUAAAUUGACAGUAUACCUUAGAGAUAUCUUGACUAUCUGAAACCCAGGUGUUGCGGGGUUCGAGGGGGCGUUUCUGAUACAGAGAUCCACGCAUGGCCAUCAAACUGCCAGAGUUGAAGGCACGCCCAGCAGCUUUCAAACAACCACCAGGGAAAGGUUUUGCCUUAUGAUCCAGAUCUAUAGGACAGACUUCUAGGAAGUCCAAGCAUGUGACGACAGCAAUGUCUUUAUCAUAUAGUCCUAAGAACCCAUCGGUAGCUGUAUUAUCCGGAAGGCGCACUGCAACCUACAGAAAUAAAAGCAGUGCACAAGCACAAGCUCAGCAUCUUCACAAUUAGCUUGAAUAUACAAAGAAAAAUCAAGGAACACAACGAUUAGCAGCACUAACCCUCAACUUAUCAUCUUUAUUUCUAUUCUGGUUGAAUUGUGUAACCAAAUGUGCUGAUGUCACAAAUCUUGUUAGUCUUUGUCUAGUUCUUCCGUGAGGUAUAGGUAUGCCCGAGCACGCAAAUAACAUCUUAUCUCCUGGACAAUAUCAUGAUUUAAAUGACAAGCGAUGACUAAAUGCAAUUUGUUUAGGAAAAUUGAAAAGUAUAGUAGCACAAUCACCAUCAAACAAAGCGAUCGCGACGACCCAGGAAGACACGUCCUCAGCAUAAUCAGUACUGACUGGAUAAGUUAAUUGACCAGGUUUGAUUAUUCCACCAAAUGACUUCUCCUCAAAAGCAACGAUUGAACCUUCACGGAAAGGUUCGCCGAAUCGUUGCACUGCAAUAGCAGAUAGAUUGUCCUCAAAAUUAUGAUACGCCUUAUAAGCCGCAUGAUCUGAUUAAUAAACAUGAUACACAACAAAUGAGUGCUAGAGCAGUAUGUGCCAGAAAAGAAAGAACCAGCAAAUUCAAAUCAACUACUCAUAUUUUAGCAUCCAUUUUAUGGUUCGGUUCAAGGCUCUCUUCCUACCACUAGGGAGAUAACUCUGACUUGAAAGCAGUGAUGAUUCAAGUCUGUUCCUUCUGUUUAUGGCUCUCUGCUCCCUACUCACACCUCUUGUGUAGUCAGUCCCCCCCUUGUUCCUCGUGGUCUUUGCAGUCCUGAAGGGAGAAAAUAAAUGCAAAUGCUUAGUAGAGUAACUAAGACCCUUUUGUAAGCUUAUAUAACACCCCCCACGUUGACAUUGGCAGCAAGUUCCUAGCAGCUAGCUAAGAUUGGCAGAAAAAGGCACAGCGCAACCAGACCAAUAUGGCAAAAGAUGUCUGAAUUUCCCUAUGGAAAGAAGAGAAUUGGGAAUAUUUCUGUAGGAAAGAGCUGUAACGUAUGUAGGUGGAUGUUAGGUUAAAGUUAAGCUACAGAUAGUAACAAAUCCCAUUAAAAAUCUGUGAUGUCUGAAUUUCCCUAUGGAAAAAAAAAUCUGUGAUCGAUGGUUAUGAGAAUCUGAGAUGUGUGGGUUAGUAUGAUGGAUAAACUUUACUCGCAGACAACAUGUACAUGUGAUUUUACUUGACCAACACAUCGUUCAAGCAACAAUCAUCAUAACCAACUGAAGUUGGAUGUAGAGAAUAACUCAACUGGAACAGAUCCGUGAGCAAUUGCAACUGCAACUACUACAGUGAGCAAGCAAAUGAGUAAAGAGACGCUUACAUCGCGCAAUUUCCCCUCGAUGAAUCAGUAGCUAGUCGUCGUCAGAUGCGCAAUUUCCCCGACCACCCCGCAGGCCCGAGCCGCCGUCAACCGUGAUGGCACCGAACGGCCGCGAGAGUAGCUUGUCGCUGCCACCAGACUGCGAGAUGUCGAGAUCGAUGUAGGGUUUUGUGUCUGUGCGGUCGCGAGUGAGCGGUCGGGUCGGGGAACGCUCUGUGCUCUGCUAGGGUUCUCUAUAUUAUAUGAUCCACAGACCACAGCAGAGGAACGAACCUACCCCGGCCCCGAUGACGUCCGUUGGGCAUCCGAUUCCGAUCCGAAAUAAACACGGAAGCUCGUCCCAAUUCUUGCGUUGGCAUAGCAUAGCAUCGAUGCGAUGCGGCCCAUAUAUCACCGCCGCCGCCGCGCCCGUGAUGGCCGUCGCCCAGCUGUUGAUGCUCGCGACCUCCCCCGGCGCUGGAGCAGGCAAGCAGGUGCCCGUGCAAGUUCUCUCCUCCAUCACCUCAUCCUCCGCAAAUGAACCUAGUGCUCCAGGCACUCGCCGCCGCUACAGUACCCGUGAAGAUGGCCGCCGGCCGGCAGCUGCUGCUGCUACUCGCGGCCUCCCUCGGUACUAGAGCAGGCAAGCAGGUCUAUCUUUGCGUCAGCGACGGCGGCUUCAUGGUUCAUGCUUCGACGGGCACAGGAGGAUGAGAGCUGCCGGCACCUUGACAAGCCCAACUCCAAAGUUCAGAUUCAGACCAAGGUUCAAAAUUUCACCGAAAUUUCGUCGAAAUUUUACGAAUUUGGGUGAUUUCGAGAGACUUUUAUCUGUAUGCUAUUACGAAAGAUUGACCAAACCAGUAAGCCACUAAAAAAUUGAUUCACACUGCUGUGCUCAACUUCAACUUCGGCUAUAUCUGUGUGUCAUUCCGUCCCCAUUCCGUUCGUUUUCUUCCGUUUAAGAGGUCUGACAUGUGGGUACCAGGAAGCACAAUGUCCUUCUUACCCUUACACCAUGAGUCUUGAGUCGAGGACGCCUCCGCGGCGAAGAGUAUCCCAGGCGCGCACCACAAGUCGGCGCCGAUCCCCCCGGUGACGAAGCCUCCGCCUCCUCCCGCGCCGCCCGCGCAACGGUCCUUACUCCUGUCCUUGCCCCUCUGGCGCCGACGACCGUGGCCGCCCCGGGCGCGUAUGCCUACGAUGCCGCCGCCGACGUGCAGCCCAAGGCGCGAAGCGCCGCCGAGGUGAAGCCCUUCCGCCUCCCCUCAUCCUACACCGGCACCAGCGGGUGAGGACGAGGAGGCCUCGCCGCGGGGGUGCAGGAGCAGGCCUUGCCGCGGAGCUCCUGUAGCCCUGCUGCUCGUCUCCCCCCUUGGCGGCGGAAGCGUGGCGGAGGAGUUGAAGGAGGGGCGAGGCCUGGAGGUCCUCGGCGGCGAGCGGUGGCGCCCCGCGGACGAGCAGGUGGCGGAACUCGUCCUCGAGCCGUGCCAUGGCGGCCUGCAGCGCGGCAUCGGUGCGCCCGUGCGGCAGGCGGCCACGACGAGGUACUCCCGCGCUGGCUCGCGGCGUCCCACUCCCGCAUUCCCGCCGCCCCCGUCCCUCUCGGCGGCAUCAGGGUCGCAGUCGCCCGUGCCGAUCUCGUCCUCUGAGCCUAAGUCGUUCCCGGUGUCGGAGAAGGACGACAGGGGGCCGAAGCCCUAGGCGAGCACCUCCGCGGCCGCCCGCUACGCCGUCACCGUCCAGAGCUGCUCCUCCAGCUCCACCACCUGCAGCGACGGGCUCGGUCACUAAGCCGCUGAGAAUGCGAAGAGGAAGGAAGGAAGGUAGCCAGUGGCAUUGGGGACAAAAAGUUUUUGUUGUCGAGACCAAAAAAUUUGUAGCAAGUGGUAGAAGCAUACCGAGUUGACGCCAUAGUAAGGGAAAGGCCACGGUAGGCAGAAGCAGCACACAGGCGGCGCCGCUGAGCCGUCCUCCGGGUAAAGCAGGCAGCAAAGCAGGGAUCCCAUCCCUCGCCUUCACUUCCCCCCUUCCAAGUUCCAGCCAAGCAGAGAAUUCUAGUUCUACCAGGUGCGUCGGACCCAGUGAAGAACACCCGAUCGAUACUUUUUUUAUUGCAAAAAGAAAAUCAGAGUUAGUACGUAUACAUAGGGCCUGUUUGGCAUGGCUCCAACUCCAGACAGAGCAGCUCCACUCCAGAAAUCCAGUUGGAGUCAGCUCUGAGUAGAGUUGGAGCUGUCUGUUAGAGGUGUUUGGCUAAAACGGUACUCAGAGCUCCAGAGUUGUGUUUUGUCAGUGUGGUUUGUCCACUUUGCCCUUUGUCCAUUGAUACAUCUAGCAACAAAUAAACCUUGUGAAUUGAAUUAAAGUUCCAACACCUUACAAGAUAAUCCAAAAUAAUAAUUCCUAAAUAAUUCGAAAAAUCCAUCAAAGCAAACAAUUCGACAUACAAGUCCAACCAAAUAAUCUGAGAUACAAAUCCAUAGUUGAGAACAUAAUUACAUUAAUUCCAAGCUAAUGCGAUGGAUGUAGCCAAACUAUCACGAAAUGUGUCCAUAGUCACAAAGCUUGCUUCCGUAGUUGAUGUAUCAGAAGCAUGGCGAGACACGGCAUAUUUGUUGUAUCUUGCUGGGAUAGUUGGCACAAAGUUCGGAUCUCGAUCAAAUUUAGCAAAGUCCACAUCCCCACUAGCAUGCUCACGUAUGAAAUUGUGGAUCACCAUGGUAGCAGCCACUACCUUCUUUUGUGUGAGCAUGGAAAAGGAAGGCAUCUUAUAAAGAAUUUGCCACUUCAUCUUCGGUAGUCCAAAUGAACGUUCAACAACAUUACGAACAGAUGAAUGUAUCCGGUUGAACUUUUCUUUUGGAGUAUUUGGUUCUAUACCUCGAUGCCACUCUGGUAAAUGAUAUCUUUCGCCCUUGUAUGGAGAUAGGUAGCCUGGACGAUUAGGAUAGCCCGCAUCCACAACAUAGUACUUGCCUGCGCAUAUAAAAAAUAGCAUAAGAAUUUGAGUUACAAAUUGACCAUACAAAGUGUUUGUCAUUGUUUUACCUUCUGGAGGAUGCGGAAAGAAUUGAGCAUCCACUGCCAUUGCAUGGUACAGUACACUUGUAUCAUGCAAAGCUCCCGGUUGGCCCGCAGCCACAUAUGUGAAUCUCAUAUCAAAAUCACAAAUGGCAAGCACAUUUUGAGUUGGAAUUCCGGUCUUACCAAUGAAUCUUACUUGUUCCUGGGGUGAAAGAGACACUCGAAUAUGAGUUCCAUCUAGUGCUCCAAUACAAUUCUUAAAAUGUGGAUAUGCUCUUUUGUCCUUUCUAAUUCUUUUGUGAACUAACCGAAAAUUAGGAUCAGUUGGUCUCAAAUAAUCUGUAGCCAUUGCAACCACAGAAUCAAGAACUUCAUGAAAUUUCCUACUAAUAGUUUCACCAGAAUGCUUGAACCUAUUUUGCCCUCUUCUAUUUGACUCACAGCCACCACAAAUGAAUAGAAAAAUUGCAAGCAUUUCAUAGGUAUUCAUGAAUUUGGACGGUUUUAAGCCAUAACUACCAACCAACUUAUCAUGAAGAUCCAAAAAGAUGUACUGGUUCAACCGAAGCAUUGUGUUGCAUUCUCCUGGAGUGUUUAGAGUCUCAAUCACCCAUCCCAUUCCACUCAACUGUGAGGUUCUUGGUGGUGCCUUGUCCAUAUAAUUAAACACAUAAGCUUCUGCUAGUUUAGCACAACCUUGAAUGAGAGAAAAAAAUUGUUCAUCAUCAUCGCUGCUGUCACCAUUCUCACUUGAAGACAUCUGCGAAACAUAGAGCAAAUGAAAAGAAAAUGUCAAUCACUAGCCGAUGGAAAAAAAAUGGUGACAGAUAGCUGUACAGGAAACCAGAUAGCUGCACAUAUUUGUACAGUACCACAAACAAAUGGAAGUCACAUAGCUGUACAGGAAACCAGAUAGCUGCACAUAUUCAUGUACAGGACACCACAUAGCUAUGACAAGCCGAUGGAAACCAAAUAACCAUAACAAGCAAUUAUAUAAAAAAGUGGGCAAUUGUCACCAUGCAAAAAGUUACAAGCCGAUGGCCACAUAUCCAAAUGUCAGUGACUUUAUUACAAGUCUUGAAACAAAGCAAGGUAAACAGAGCACCUAGAAAAAUAAAAAGUGGGCAAUCACACACAUUGCCACUCCUACUUCGCAUGCUUAUCAUUAUAUUUUCUAGUAAGCCAGUUGAACUUAAUUUCAUCCGUAGGAAAGGUCAUGAACAUCUCCCUUUGCUCCUUCUUGACAAACAGUUCAGUGGCAAUGUAGUGUUCAUCGGUUCCAUACUCAGCACCACAAUCUCUAACUGCCUUCAUCACUUCAUCAAUAGUGAAUUUUCCAUCUUUCUUGGCAGCGUAUGCAUUGGCUGAACUAGCCGUACUAGUGCAAGCUUCUUGAAUGAGGACUGCAUUGGUUGUCUUAGCCUUCUUGCCUGAACCCUGGACAGGCCUUGCUGCUCUCUUGCCACUACCAGGGGAAGGUGUAACCUCAUAUGUCUCGUCGUCUUGUGUCGCACCCAGUGCAUCAAUAUCCUCAACUAGUGCAGCACCUUGUUCAUCUUGAGUCACACUAGGUGUUGCAGCCAUUGUAGAAUUGUUGCCACAAGGGGUCCAAUGAUCGGAACCAAAAUUUACAAUGCCUUGAAAACAAAUUGUUAACUCAUCUUCAUUUUGAAGUGGAUGCUUCCUAAACUUCCCACAGCCUGGAAUAUCCUGAAAAUAUGCAAGAGAGCACCAAAUAUUAGGAUAAAUAAUAACAGCAAUUAAUUCAUAAAGUAGGUAAUAUUCAUAAAUACAAACACUUACAGCUCUAGCCUUCUUCCACCAUUCAUCGUCCAUAUCAAUAGUGCCAUUAUUCCAACCGAUUCCUGUUUGGCUCAUUGUUAAUUUUUUCCAUGCCUUGAAUUCUUCCUUCAACUUGUCCCAUUUGUUCUUGAUUUGCCCCUUGUUCAAUUCAACGCCUGUCUGAUCUUUGAAUGCUUUUUCAAUAGCAGCAUAACCAACUGAAUUCAAGAAUGUAUUUGGCCGGUUUCCUUUCUCAACUUGUUCAGCCAUCAAACCACAUAGGAUCCGAGUGUUCUCUACGUUCCAAUCAAUUUCUGGCAUCUAUACAACUCAGCACCACAAGGUUUCAGAACAAGCACAGAUCGCUAACUCAACUACAGACCAACUAAUAUGCAAGCACUUCGUAAAAAAAUAUGCGCCAGCAAACUACUACUACCACUAUUGGGAAACAUCAAGCAACUUACAACACACAUGGGGAUGAAACAUCAUAGCAUGAUUCUUUACAUAGCAUCUGUACUACAGUUCACCAGUACACAUGAAAAAACAUCAUAGCAUACAAAAGGGGAUGAAACAUCAUAGCAUAGAGAUGGAGAUGCUGCAAUACCUUGUAGGAUUGAUGGAGCUUGCUGGGGACGUCACCCUUCUUCUCCUUCAACGGCGAGAGAGGUGGAGGCACUCUUCUUCUUCCCCUUUGUCUCCUUUAGGGUUAGGGUUGGGGAUUUUGGCACCCUUCUGCGGCAGGCACUGACGGGAGAUGGGGGAGGGAGGCUCGGCGGGGGAUGGGGGAGGGAGCCUCGGCGAUCAGGCACUGCCGGGGGAGGAGAGAUGGCGCCGCUCGGCGAGCUCCCCUGGCUGCGGAUGGCGGCGCGUCGCCCUCUCGGGCAUGGGAGCCGCGCACGAACAGGAAGCGCGGAGGGAGUCGGGGUCACGGCUGGGCGCUGCCGUGCCUGGUGGGGAAAAAACGAUUCGAGGUCUGGAGUGUGUAACCAGUGGCAAUUGCGGAUAAUUUUAUUCCAACUCCAUGUCUACUUCUAUUUUGGUCUGUUCUGGAGUAGGAGAAGAGGUACUCCAAAAAUUUGUACUAGAGCUCCAAAAACUCCAUAGAGUUGGGCUGCUCCAAUGUUUUCUGGAGUUGGGGUGUUUGGCUAGCUCCAUCUGACUUUAGCAUAGAGUUCGGCUCUGGAGCCAUGCCAAACAGGCCCAUACACUUGCAAUUAGGUCAGGUCUCCAAUUACAAAUAAUCAAACAGCUUAGAUUAGGCUUCAAAUGCUGCUCGGUUUCGCACAGCAGGAAGCGGCGGGGCAUACUUGCUGGGUGCUGGUUGCCGGAGAAGUAGAAGGAGCCGACGAGGACCUGGGCAUCUGGCAGCGGCGUAAGCAGUGGUAUGUAGGGAGAAAGCAUGUGAGGAGAAGGAAUAGCCCAACCAAGUUGGAGUCGGGUGUCUGUUGGUUCGUCCGAGGCACGGUGCAAACGGACUCGGCGUCGGAGGCCAGACGAAAAAACGGACCAGACCAAAAAAGAGGCUGCCUCUUUAGUAUUAGGUUUAGGUAUAGAGGUAUAGAUAAGCAUACAGAUAGUAUACUGAGUAUCGUUAUUUAUUAUAUUUUUCCAUAAGAAAGACAUGUGAAACUAAGUCUAUAUUUAACCCUUAAGAUAGCAAAGAGUACGGAGACGAUAGGGAUAUUAAAGUAGGUCAUUAAGGUUGUCUAGUUCUAACCUUAUAAGCUAUGUACAUUAUUACUCAAGAGACAGCACCUAAGAUAACUUUAACUUAGCAACGGUGUCUUAUGUGCCACUACAGAUAGGAGGUGGACUAUAUAAGAGUCAACAAGGCUAUAAAGUCACCCUCGUGAGCUACCACUGAUCUAGAAUGUAAGGUGCAUCUACGAGCAAUGAUAGUCUAAGCACCACACUUACACCACGUAUACUAUCCUAAUCUACCAAGACUAGAGCACUCAAAAGGGAGUCAUGAACUAGAUGAAUAAUAAUAACAACGAACUUACUUGAAUUAUAGUUGAAUACCAAAAGACUCUCAGAAGUAAGCUCCAGGGUUAGUAGAACUUGAUCCCGCAGGUACAAGCCGAAGAGGAGCCACGAGAAAGGCUAGGUAAGUCCACUCAAUGCGCAGAUCAAACUGGCCAGGCGGAGCUGCUGAUUUGGUGAAACUACCUUGGUGCAGGUUAGACCUUGUUUUGAUCCGAUUUUUUUUUUUGGAUUUUGACAUUGUAGCUCUUUCGUUUUAUUUGGCAAACAUUGUCUAAUUAUGGAGUAACUAGGCUUAAAAGAUUGAUCUCGUAAUUUACAGACAAACUGUGCAAUUAGUUUUUGUUUUCAUCUAUAUUUAAUAUUCCAUGCAUGUGCCACAAGAUUUGAUAUGACGGAGAAUCUUGAAAAAUUUUUGGUUUUUUGAGGUGAACUAAACAAGACCUUAGUCUAGUUGGGAGCGGGUUUUGGUGGAACCAGCUCAGCUCAGAUGUGCUGGGGCUUCCAGUAAUUAUAGGGACCCAGAGCUCCUAAUAGAGUGUGUGUGUGUGUGUAUAUAUAUAGAACUAUUAUUUUGUAGUUGGCUACAAAAUAACUUAUUUUGUAGCAACUUUGAGUUAGGAUAAUUACUAUAUUAAUUUACAACAUUAUAGUAACUCCUUACUAAGUGGUUUACUAUAACAUUACGAUAAAUAUCCCCAUGUAUUAUAGUAACCUAACUAUCGUAAAUAUGUAUACACAUUAUCGUAAAUUAGUAUAUAAAAUUAUCGUAAAUGGAGAUGACUAUUAGACAUUGAUUAAACGAACUUCUUUUAACUUUGUUGGGACUCAAUUAUCAGUUCUGGAUUUGAUAAUUUAUCAUUCAUAAACUGAUGUAUAUAUGUAUAUCUUAUCUUAUAUUCUUAUAAAGUAAAAAUCCCACUAACUAUUUCUCUCAACAUGCAAGCUAUCCAACUAGACAAUCCACUUAACACACACAAGUACUUCAUUUUAGAAGUAUCAUGGAAAGAUGCAUGUCACUAUCAUGAAAAAUCCAAACUUGAAAAGAAGGUUUGCAGCUCAAAUUGGUUAUUCAAUUUUGUCAACUGUUGAGUUCAAAUGUGCCAUGAUUAAAAGCUUGGGUUUUACUUUGUUAUCAUGUCAGUCAAGAGUCAGCAUUUUAAUCCCACACAAAUACUACCCAUAAAAAACAAAUACAAACAACAGUUCUACAAGUCCUAAUUAAUCAUCUUCUAGCUACCUCGAUCAUUCAUCCCUAUGAUGGAACGAGGACUGAACAUUCUUUAGUUAGCCAAGUUAGCCUAUUCUUGCCUUCCCUUAACUCUUCUUCUUGACAACUGUAAAAAUAUUAGGUUGGAUAAUAAUUGAGAUAGAUGGUGGAUGUGUUAAGCGAUAAAGAUUGAAAGGACCAAUGUUUAGACGACAAUUCAACAUACCAUAAGGCACAUAGCCUUUGAUUAUAGAGAUCUUCAAGUAACUUAUCAAUUGUAUCCUCGUUAUCCUUAAAACUGUAUACGCUAUAUUUGAAAAAUAAAACUGUAUAAACCAUAAACAUCUUAAAGAUAACACUUUAGAUAUACUAAGAAAUUGUAACAGAAGACACAUAGAUGUAUAUGGUAUAUAUAAUAUAUGCAAACGAAAAAAAUCAUCAUGUAAUUAUAUAACUAUUUGCAAUCAAGAUAGAAUAUACUAAUAAAGUAGCACUACUAUUAUGAUGUACAUAUUUGCUUACAACUCACAAGGGGAUCACACAUAUUUAUAUAAUGCCAAAAUUUUAGAAUAAAGCACAAUAGAAAUUAGGCCUUGUUUAGUUCACAAAAAUUUUCAAAAUUCUCUAUCACAUUAAAUCUUUAGUUGCAUGCAUGAAGUACUAAAUAUAAACGAAAAUAAAAACUAAUUACACAGUUUACUUGUAAUUUGCGAGACGAACCUAGUUAGUCUGUGAUUGGACAAUAAUUAUCAAAUACAAACGAAAAUACUACAGUAGCCAAAAACCAAAAAUUUUGCGAACUAAACAAGGCCUUAGUUGCAUAAGAUUCACGUUCACGAUCACAAAAAUUGAAAAAUCAACUUACAGUUCCCAGUUCAAGGUGUUCUCUUAGAGAAUGCAAGACUAUGUUGGCUGAUACACCUUCUCUCCAAUGUUUAUCAGUGGCUAAAUGAACUGCAACAAGUUUACCUUAGUCUGUGAUUGGACAAUAAUUAUCAAAUACAAACGAAAAUGCUACAGCAGCCAAAAACCAAAAAUUUUGCAAACUAAACAAGGCCUUAGUUGCAUAAGAUUCACGUUCACGAUCACAAAAAUUGAAAAAUCAACUUACAGUUCCCAGUUCAAGGUGUUCUCUUAGAGAAUACAAGACUAUGUUGGCUGAUACACCUUCUCUCCAAUGUUUAUCAGUGGCUAAAUGAACUGCAAUAAGUUUACCUUAGUCUGUGAUUGGACAAUAAUUAUCAAAUACAAACGAAAAUGCUAUAGUAGCCAAAAAUCAAAAAUUUUACAAACUAAACAAGGACUUAGUUGCAUAAGAUUCACGUUCACGAUCACAAAAAUUGAAAAAUCAACUUACAGUUUCCAGUUCAAGGUGUUCUCUUAGAGAAUGCAAGACUAUGUUGGCUGAUACACCUUCUCUCCAAUGUUUAUCAGUGGCUAAAUGAACUGCAACAAGUUUACCUUAGUCUCUGAUUGGACAAUAAUUAUCAAAUACAAACGAAAAUACUACAGUAGCCAAAAAACCAAAAAUUUUGCAAACUAAACAAAGCCUUAGUUGCAUAAGAUUCACGUUCACGAUCACAAAAAUUGAAAAAUCAACUUACAGUUCCCAGUUCAAGGUGUUCUCUUAGAGAAUGCAAGACUAUGUUGGCUGAUACACCUUCUCUCCAAUGUUUAUCAGUGGCUAAAUGAACUGCAACAAGUUUACCAUUUUUAAAGAGGGAAGAUCCUAAAUGAACUUGUAUGGCUUGACAAUUAUAGUGCAUUUUCUCAUGAAGCUGAUCGCCAUCAUCAAUUUUAUAUGGGCUAGUACUGUGUAUGAGAAAGAAACAAUAUUGAUUUUCAUUAAAAAACACAUGAGACAAAAGUAGAAAUGGACACCUAAAUGAUCCUUAAUUUGAUAUGCAUCUAUACUUACCAAGCUACACCAGUAAGAAUUGAAUGUGCCUGGACCGGUGCGGGAACAAGCUCUUUAUUCUUGAUCCAUAGAGAUGCACCGGAAAUCCCAAGUUGUACAACCUUGUCGUUUCCCUUCACUUCAUCAGUACAGAACUUCAAAUGUUGGUGUUGAGGCAGCAGGUCCUUGACCAAAAACAAUAAAAGAUCAUGACUCUCAUGUCGGUAAACGAUAUGCUCAAUUGUGUAAUCUCUAACUGUAUCUCAAUUAUGUAGCCUAAUCAUCUCUCCACGUACUUUUUUUUCCAAAAUUAUGGCCACAUGUGAGAACCAAACUCCGCUCAUCACCCUUGUACACAAGUGAAGCAGAGCUGGUUUGAAUAACUUCACUUGUCCUCUUAUUCGCUAAAAUGAUCCUCAUCCUCCCCACACUUCCACGAAGUGGUUCUACUGAUCGCACUAGUUCAUUGUGUUCCUCUACUGAUAGGCCAAUUAAGAGUAAGCAUUUUAAUCCCACACAAAUACUACCCACAAAAAACAAAUACAAACAGCAAUUUUACAAGUCCUAAUUAAUCAUCUUCUAGCUACCUCGAUCAUUCAUCCCUAUGACGCAAUGAGGACUGAACAUUCUUUAGUUAGCCAAGUUAGCCUGUUCUUAUUCUACCCUCUAAACUUUCAAAACUGGUCAAAUAACCCCCUAGAGUGGUUUUAGAGGAUGAUUUUGUCUUUUUUUUUUAGUUAUUUCUGCCGAAUCUUUGAAAAAUCAUAAUAAAUCACAUAAAAAUCAUAAAAUAAAAAAUUCAAUUUUGUUGGACUCCUAAUGAGUAGAUCUACACAAUGAAUAUAUAAUAUGGUAUAUUUUAGUACAAAUUUUUUUUUGUAGUUUUAAAUCUAUGUUUUUCUACAAUUAAUAAGAAUAAUUCAUAUAUGUAGUUCCUAUGGUUUAAUUGUGGUAAAAUUUUGAUGGUGAGCUCAUUAUUGUAUGCUUGAACUAUGGUAAAAGUUUCGUACCUAUUGGAUCACGUAUAACUUAGUUAUAGAUUUAUUUAGCUUUAUUCUUGUUAAAUCUAUGAUUUAUCUAUAAAAAAUCAUAGAUUUAACAAGAAUAAAGCUAGAGGAAAAAUUCAAAACAACUCCAGCAAACACCACAACAACAACUUGCCCUAGACUGAUUUUUUUUCCGCCGGGUCAUCAUAUUCUAGUAGAUGUUGAAUGCUCACAGUCUUUGCCCCUAGGGCUGGAUAUUGAGCCAGCUCGUGUCGUUAAUAGCUCGGCUCGUUAUAGCUCGGCUCGUUAUGGCUCGUUAUACAAACGAGCUAGAAGGCUGGCUCGGCUCGGCUCGGCUCGUUAGUGAGCUCGAGUAGCUCGUUUGGCUCACGAGCCAGAUCAUAAAAACAUAGUACAAAGAGACUAUAAAAUUAUAAAAGCAAUUAAACAACAAAUACAUCACAUGUAUACUUAAAAUAAACUAAAUAAAGUACUUAUUGUUUUAACAAUUUAACAAACAAACUAAAGUUUUGUCCAACUAGCCCACUACGAUCAUGACCGAGUCAAUUUUAGUUGCUAGCAUGAUAACUGACUAGCUCAUUAUGGCUCACGAGCUGGCUCGAGCUGGCUCAUUAUAAAACGAGCUGACUCAUUAUAAAACGAGCUGGCUCAUUAUAAAACGAGUCGAGCUCGAGCUGAGCUAUUAACGAGCGAGCCGAGCGAGCUAGCGAGUUACGAGUUUUUUGUCCAGCCUUAUUUGCCCGCAACAUACGGAGUAGCACUGAAGAAGAGGGUAACAAUCCCUGAGAACCAAAAUGCAUCGAGGGGGAUUAUGCCAGAUUCGGGGCUGGAUAAUUUCAUAAAGUCUAUCUCAAUGCCCUUACCCCAACCGCUAACUCUGUCUAGAUUUGUUUUGUUUAUGUAAUUUGUACUCUUUUUGUUAAUAAAGUUCUCUCUGCAGGGGCCUUGGCCUCUUCAGUUCCAUUUAAAAAAAACUCCAGUUAGAGCAAAGCAACCUUUCUUUACAUCUUUUCAAACAACACCCACGGACGGUGAGGAUAGCACAUGUUAAACAUGUAUGAAACAAAAAAAUGCUUUCCACAGCGGAGCAGAAAUGUUUUCGACACGGUGCUCAUCUCAACGCAAGAGUACUAGCUAGGUUGGCAAGAAAAAAAAAGGCAGAAUCAAAUGUAGACAAAGAUGCUAUUCAGAUUGCUCAGGAACUACUAGUUAAGAAACUAUCAACUGAUAAAACUGUGCCACAACAGACUGAAAAUGACAUUGAUCUUUAUGCCCAGCACUUUGAGAGGCCGAUUAACAAGCACAAAGAUGGAGGCCCUCCAGCAUCUGAUUGAGCAUGGAACAAAGAAGUUGAACAAGACAGACAACCAGCCCGCCGGAGUUCCAGUAGCUGGUUUGCAGGCAUGAGAACCAGCUCAUCUUCUUUGGUCGAUGCUAACCAUCAAGCUAUGGAGCCUAAAUGUGCAGACCGUGCAACUGUCCUUUUCUAAUUAAUUCAUGUGCAUUUCUUCCAUAAUCUCCAACUCAAAUUGGAAUGCAGAGUAUCCUAAGGCUAUCUCCAACAGGAGACCCAUUUGAGAACUCAAACCUAAAAUGGGUCUCCAACACAAUACCUAUAGCCUCCAACAGAGUACCCAAACAGAAGACCCAUUUUGGAUAUCAGGAGAGGCAUAACCCCAAAUUUGGGUAUCCUCUCUCCUCGAGACCUAUUUGCAGAGAGUGUUGUCUUUUAGGUCUUGUUGUUGGAGAAGACUAAAAAUAGGUAUCGAACUUUUUACCUGUAGCGCUACCCAAAGGACAAAUGGGUCUUGUAUUUUGGGUGACGAUCGUUGGAGAUAGUGUAAGACGAGCAUCUCCUCGCCUGCUUGCUUCUCUGCGACGGGAUCCUCUGAUGUCAACUUCACUGUAACGACUCUUCUUUCGUGACCUCUAUUUAUCUCUCGUAAAUACAGAACCAGUGCAUGCCCAAUGGCCGAAGCAUGCCACUAGAUCAUAUUACCCACAUGAAUACAUGAUACAACAUUCCUGGAACCCAUCAACUUCUACAAAUAUUCAUCAAAUAGACAAUUAACCUACUCCCAAACAGUGGCAACCGAGCAUGCCACACGGCUUACUAAUAAUUUAAAGAAACAUGAGCAUAUGGCUAUGCAUUUCCAAACAUUACAUAAACAUAUCCCACAAAAAAAACAAUGAUAAAACCCUAAUAGAAAUUGUUUAACAUUCAUGAAUGUGAAAAGAGUUCAACAGAUCGCGUCACAUUAAUACCUCAUAGCAGUCAAACAGCUCAGCAGGAUAAAUGGUUCCUAAAAAGUCACAUAACAGUUCAAAAAUAAAACCUAAAUCAACGCGUACACUAGGCUACAACUCAACUCCACAGUUGCAGCUGCCUGAGACUUUUGAGAUGCGUGACAUGCAUCUUGCAUAUGCUGCUGCUCAGGUUAUCUCCUUGCAUAUGCUGCUGCUCAGGCUAUCUCCCACCAAUAGUCAGCCCUUCAAAUAAAAAAUAGCUAUCAGCAAGCAUAUUUUUCUAUAACACACUGAAUUUUCUCAAAUAUGGAAAAUUUAUUUGCAUUAAUGAACGAUAAUCAUGCACUGACAACCUCUGCAGGUUCUUCCACUUGAGCUUCUGCCCCUGCAGGUUCUUCCACUUGAGCUUCUGCCCCUGCAGGUUCUUCAUUUCCCUGGGAAACAAAGGUACUGAACAUACCAAAUAAAAAAGGUUAGAUAAUUGAAGCCAAUUUAUUUUAAUCAAGAAUAAAAGUAAUCUAUUCAUAUUAGAUUAUUCUUUGAGUUCAAUCAAAUAUGGGACAGAUACUACCUUUUCCAGUGUUUAAAAGUAUCUCGUAGCUGCCAAACAGUCCAUGCUUGCCAGUGUCUCUGAUCAAGAUAUGUUAUCCCCACGAGAUCACCAGACAAAUUGAACAAUGGUGAUCCUAAGUAAGCAUACUCAUGCAUAGGGCAAUCAUGAAAUAGAACUCUGCUACAAACACCUCUGUUUAUUAAAGAAGAAAAAACAUCAUUAAUUUUUUUUAGACAACAAUAUUACAUAUAAUGUGAUAAUAUAUGAGAGAUCUUACGUUACUGAACCUCUGCAAUAACCGGUUGGUGUAAUAUACCCUUCUCUAGGAAAAACAAAUGAAUCAACAGGAUCACCAACUUGAACAGACUGAGUCUCAAACCUGACUGCUUUUAUAUAGCCAUUUUCUCUUGGCUUAGCAUCAAAUAUAUAGAAACCUUCAGCAGAUUCAAAGGCAGCAAGAACAGCAGAUUUUUUGCGCUUACGAACAGCAACAAGUUUUUGUCCUUCUUCAUAUCCUGUAGCAUUUGGGAAGUUCACUGCAAAAUUUUUUCUCAUCCCAAAAAAUGUGGAAUUCGCUGCUAUGACAGCAGACCCAUCAUCCUUGAUUGAAAGAAUAAUGCCAGCAAUAACCAUAAACCGCCUGUCCUUCGACUUCGGCAUCCAGUCAAAAGAUAUACGCACAAUUGACCUACGGACCUCCUCCUUAAUAUCUUGGGACUGCUGUUAACAAGAAAUUUUUUUUAUUAAAAAAAAAACAGAAAACCAGAUAGGGAUUAGGUAAACCAUCACAGAAAGAAGUGACGGACCUGCUGCUCCAUGAAAACGGCGCCAAUCUACGGAAGAGGAGAAGGGAAUGAGGAUGGCACCGACUGGCCGGCGCAGGACCUGCUCGCAGCUGUGAGCGUGAAUACCACCUCCCUCCGCACCGCAGCGUGCCUUGGACAGGCGCUAGGGAUAAGAGGGCAGAUCGUACCUUGGGAAUCAGCCGUCGACUCGUCGUGCUGCGCUCGUACUCUUGCCGGCUUCAGGAUCCGCUCCUGCCCCCUGGAACCUCGCCCUCCAAAUCCCGCCGUGCGCCGUCCUGACAGUUGCGCUUGCGCCUGACGCCGCUGGAUCUGAAGGACCAGGACAGCGACGGCACAAGCAGGAGGAUGAGGAACGGAUCUGAGGACCGAAGAGCAAGGCAGCCGCCGACCGACGCCCAAGCCCACCAAUGAGCAGUCGGGGAUUCUGUUGAGGGGUUUCGUGUUGUAGAGAUCCCGACAAGGCGACAACGGUCUUUAACAAAUGUGCCCUCGGAUACGAACGAAAGGUUGACAUACAGGAUACUCCCUCCGUACCUGUUAUUUUUUAGGUUCUGGGCCGGUGAGAAGAAUUCGCAAAGCUUGACGUUGCACAGCCGCAUACUCUAAUACGGACGCAAUUGCCCCUGCAUGUGCCUCGCCACCCGUAUGCGACUGCUCGGCUUCACCCGUAGUUAAUUGUGCUGCCUCACGAGGAUGACUUUGUCGCCAAUACGCUGGCACAGCACGCGUCAAGGCAGCACGCUCGCACCCAGGCCAAACCCUUCAUGCUAUCAAGCGCAUGCAUGGGAAGAGUGCCAUGUAAAAUAAUUAAAAAAAAGUGCUACACAAAAAAGGCUUGGCAAAUCAAAAAAUAGUAUCUCCAAAGGAGUCGAACCGGCUACCUCCAUCUCAAGACAUAGAGGUCUCACCAAUCGAGCUAUACUAGGCUAUUGCAAAGGAAACACACGCAGCGCUAUUUAAUAGGGGCAAAGUAGAAAAACUAACCUCUACUUAAUCACUUCUUGGUUACCACAAUCCUGUCCUAAACGUCAACUAAUUCAGGUAUGGAGGGAGUACAAUAUAAGGCCUUGUUUAGUUCACCCUGAAAACCAAAAAGUUUUCAAGAUUCUCCGUCACAUCGAAUCUUGGAGCACAUGCAUAAAGCAUUAAAUAUAGACGAAAACAAAAACUAAUUACACAGUUUAGCUGUAAAUCACGAGACGAAUCUUUUGAUCCUAGUUAGUUCAUGAUUGGAUAAUAUUUGUCACAAACAAACGAAAGUGCUACAGUACCGAAAAAUUUUCACUUUUCAGAACUAAACAAGGCCUAAAACUCAUGACACUAGGGUCUUGUUCCUGAAAACCAAAAAAAUUUCAAGAUUUCCCAUCACAUCGAAUCUUAUGGCACAUGCAUGAAACAUUAAAUAUAGACAAAAAUAAAAACUAAUUACACAGUUUAGCUGAAAAUCACGAGACGAAUCUUUUGAUCCUAGUUAGUUCAUGAUUGGAUAAUAUAUGUCACAAACAAACGAAAGUGCUACAGUACCGAAAAAUUUUCACUUUUUGGAACUAAACAAGGCCUACCAGCUCCACGUGGCGUGACUUGCGCAAAAAAUGAAGAUGUUGCAACAUUCAGGUAUUUUGAGGCAAUUUCAUACUUAAAUUAUCAGUCACAACAAAUCAACUUAGAAAUUUAAAAAAAAUAAGUGUAACUAGAAAUUCAGAUGUGAAGCUAGAGUACAUGGGGUGUUUAGAUACCUCUUACUAAAGUUUAGUCCCCUGUCGUAUGGGAUGUUUAACAAUAAUUUAAAAUAUAAAAUAUAGACUAGUUAUAAAACCAACUCCAUAAAUCAAGACUAAUUUUGCGAGACAAUAAAUCUAUUAAACUUAAUUAUUUCAUAAUUUGAUAACGUAGUGCUACAGUAUAUUCAGCAAACCUUAAUUAGCUCUUGAAUUAACUAAUGUCAUUUAACAUAAUAUAAUAUACACUAAUUAUGCAAUCACGUUGCUAGGUGGGAGCCACCUUUAUAUCCAGCAAGCCAAGCCCGUAGAAAACAAAAAUAAAACUCGUUUUCGAGGAGCCAAACUGAGGAAGCUUUUUGCAUCCCGUAGAACAGGCUCUACGGCCUUAUCUAGAUCAAAAAGCUUUUGGAUUUAAACACUAUAACACAUUCUUUUGUAUUUGAUAAUUAUUAUUUAACUAUAAACUAAUUAAAUUUAAAAGAUUUAUCUCGUAAAUAACAGAUAAACUAUAUAAUUAAUAUUUUUUUAUUUAUAUUUAAUGUUUUAUAUAUGUAUCUAUAAUGAGAAAUAUUAAAAUGUUUUUAGAUUUUAAAUAAAACUAAACAAGACCUACGUAUGCAUACUGUCACACUGACGCACACGCACUCAGCCCCGCCUCAGGAAUGAAAGGCCACGUGUCGAUGUGUUUGAAAAAUCUAUUACCAUAUAAGGCCUCGUUUAGUUCGAAAAAAUUUGAGAAAUCGACACCGUAGCACUUUCAAUCAUGGAGUAACUAAACUUAAAAGAUUUAUCUCGUGAUUUACAGGUAACUGUGCAAUUAGUUUUUAUUUUUAUCUACAUUUAGAGCUCUAUGCAUGUGCCACAAAAUUCGAUGUGACGGGAAAUUUUGAAAAGUUUUUGGUUUUUGGGGUGAACUAAACAAGGCCUUAGUCAAUAUGGACUCAUAGGCCUUGUUUAGAUCCAAAAACUUUUUGGAUUUUGAUACUGUAGCACUUUUGUUUUUAUUUGACAAAUAUUGUCCAAUCAUGGAGUAACUAGGCUUAAAAGAUUCGUAUCGUGAUUUACAUGUAAACUGUGCAAUUAAUUAUCUUUUUUAUCUAUAUAUAAUGUUUUAUACAAGUGCCGCAAGAUUCGAUGUGAUGGGAAAUCUUGUAAAGUUUUGGAUUUUUAGGUGCAUCUAGCCUAAGUCCUUUCUGCGUGGUGCUCGUAUUUGGCCACCGUGACUAAGUAGAUACAAUGUUUAGUUUUGUCCUAUGAAAAUAUGUCGCAUGAGACAAAAUGUGUAAGGCAAAAAUUGCUAUCAUAUUUAUUGUAUAUAAAUAUGUUUUACUAGUCUUAGUUUUUCUUAUUAAAUCUUAAUUACCUCUUAAAUGCACAAUGUCAUUUAAUAUAUACAAUAUAUACUAAUUAUGCAACAAUGUUGUUAGCUGGGAGCGACCUCAUGUCCAGCAAGCCAGGCCCGCAAAAAACAAAAAUAAAACUCGUUUUCGACGAGCCAAGCUAAGGAAAGCUUUUUCAUCCCAGCUGAGCAUUCUUAUUUUUGCAAAAAAAGUUUUUAAAAAAACUAUCCAAUUGCAUUUUAGUUAACUUGACAUAUUCCUAGCCAGAUUUGGCAUAUAUGUCAACCGUGUAUUGCGCUUGCCAUUAUAUAGCCCCGCGCUGCCACCGCCGUUUUCUUCUCGCGAAAAGUUGAAGGCUACGAUCUUUCAGUUCUAGACAUCGCUGGACAAUGCCGGCUUGAUGGAGUCGUCGGCGACAUGGAUUCCGUCUAGGACGAUAACAUAUUGAUGAUGCUAUAGAGUAUAGCAACCCCCGGCGGCGAUUUAGCCCGACCUAGCUGAAGUCGUCUCUGUCGCCCUAAUCUUCCAGUAUGCUAGCUACAUUCCAAGAAGCCCUUGCGGCUGCAAGCUGCAAGCAGUCUCUGUCACUUUGAUCCAUUCUCUUCCUUCAAGUGCACACACGACCGGGAAUGGAAGGCGGCGGCAUUAGGAAUAGCGCGCGAAGAAAUAUGCGCGACCGAGUCGACAGCGUGAAGAAAAAUUUCGCCUGAAAAAAUAACCGAUGGGUUCAUACUUUGGGUUUUGCCAACUCAAUUUUGCCAAACCAUUAGAGAUAACUUUUUUUUCUUCUUUCCAUAUUGAUUUAAGACUUGGCAAACUCUAUGUUUUGCCAAAGAUAAAAUACAAAACCGUUGGAAAUGCUCAUGCUCAUGUCUUUACCCAAACAAGUGAAAACUGAAUUCCGUCAGCCUCAGUCAAAUGAGCCCCUCACUGGAGUUCAAGCGAACAGGGCCAUAGACAGACUCGUCACGGUCCUUAAUAAAUCUAUCUUUUGAGCCUAGUUAAUCUAUAAUUAAAUAAUAAUUAUUAAAUACAAAUAAAAUGUUAUAUUAGCUAAAACUAAAAUUUUCACCAACUAAACAGCCCCUACGUAUGCAUACUGACACACAACACACACACCCCCCCAACCCCCAAUCUCAUGGAUGGAAGGUUUACGUGUCGAUGAGUAUAUGAGUGGCAUGAACAAAAAAUAAUCAGUUCCAUAUCUUAGAGCCUAGUCAAGAUACGCAGUCAAAAGUCAAAAUACAUGCAAGAUAAUAUGAUAUCAUAAUAAUAAUAUUAUAUGCUUCCACCCUAAUUAUUCCAAUAUAUAUAUAUAUAUAUAUAUAUAUAUAUAUAUAUAUAUAUAUAUAUAUAUAUAUAUAUAUAUAUAUGCUAACUAAAAAAAAUGUUUAAGAUAGUAGUAGAUUACAAAUUCUGCUAGAGCCUACAGCUAAAGGCGACAGCGGUCAGAGUCAAGAGAGAUGCAGCUCACCAGUCACCACUCACCACACAGCACGCAGCCGCGACAAUGGAGGAUUCCGGCGCCUGCUGGCCCCUACUGCUCCUACCACUUGCAGCCUCACUCCUCUUCUUGCUCUACUGCCGCAUCCAUGGCGGCCGCAAGAACUCAGCGCCCGGCAGUGAGGGCAACAACGGCCGGCUCCCUCCCGGCCCGCCGACGCUGCUCUUCCUGGCCAAGUUCCUGUCCCUCCGGCGCUCCGUCUUUGACCUGGGCCCGCUCCUCCGGGAGCUGCACGCGCGGCACGGCCCCGUCAUCUCGCUCCGCCUCCUCUUCGCCACGCACGUCUUCGUCGCCGACCGCCGCCUGGCGCACCGCGCGCUCGUCCACGGAGGCGCCACCUUCGCCGACCGCCCGCCGGUCGUCGAGCCGGAGGGCCUGUUCAGCGCCGGCGGCCGCGACAUCAACACCUCCCCGUAUGGCCCGUACUGGCGCCUCGUCCGCCGCAACCUCGCCACGGAGGCGCUGCAUCGUGGCCGCGUCGGCCUCUUCGAGCCGGCCAGGAGGUCGGCGUGCGACGCCCUCGUCACCAGCCUCAGCGCCAGCGCCGCCGCCGACGAGACGGCCACGCUGAGGCCGUUCCUGCGGCGCGCCAUGUUCCAGCUGCUGGCGCACAUGUGCUUCGGCGCGCAGCUAGGCCGGGAGGUGCUCGACGAGAUCGAGGAGCUGCAGCACCGCAUGAUCCUGUCCUACACCACCUUUCCUAUCUUCGCCGUCUUCCCGGCGGUCACCAAGAGGCUGUUCCGCAAGCGGUGGGCGGCGUACGUCGCUCUGGCGCGGAGGAUGGACGAGGUGUUCGUUCCGCUGAUCCACGCCACGCGUGGCGGCGGCGGCGACGACCCGCCAUGCUACGCGGACUCGCUCCGCACGCUGCGCGUGGCCGAGGAGGGCGACCGGCCGCUCACGGACGCCGAGAUGACGAGCCUGUGCACCGAGUUCCUGACCGGCGGCACGGACACGACGGUGACGGUGGUGGAGUGGAUCAUGGCGGAGCUGGUGAACCACCCCGACGUCCAGGCCAAGGUGCACGACGAGGUGAAGAACGCACCGGACGGCGACCUCCAGCUCCAGGCGAUGCCGAUGCCGUACCUCAAGGCCGUCGUGCUGGAGGGCCUGCGGCUGCACCCGCCGGGCCACUUCGUCCUGCCGCACGGCGUGCGAGGCGACGCGGAGAUCGGCGGCUACACUGUGCCUAAAGGCGCGCAGGUGAACUUCCUGGUGGCGGAGAUGGGCCGCGACGAGACGGUGUGGACGGCGGCGCGCGAGUUCCGGCCGGAGAGGUUCGUGGACGGCGGCGAGGGGUGCGACGUCGACAUCACGGGGACCAAGGAGAUCAAGAUGAUGCCUUUCGGCGUCGGGCGGCGCAUGUGCCCCGGGUACGCGCUGGGCAUGCACCACGCCGAGUACUUCGUGGCGAGGUUGGUGCGGGACCUGGAGUGGCUGCCGCCGGCGGAUGGCGAGGUCGUCGACAUGGCGGAGCUGAUGGAGUUCACCACCGUCAUGAAACACCCGCUCCGAGCUCGCGUCGUGCCAAGGAACUGAUCGAACACUUGAAGGUCACAACUGGAGGAACCAAUUAGACUCUGCUUUGUCAGACUUGUGUGCUUUUCCCUCCUCUAGCUUGAGUUUAUCUGUUGAAUAUGUCAGCCCUUCAACAGUGCUCGAACAGUACUUCAGUCAUAAAUUAUCAACCAAGCGAACAUGCUCUGUGUGGCAGGUUGAUAUGUUACAUCUCUUCUUUAAAAUGGUAUUUUGUAUACUUUUUAUCAUUCCUUUAUUGGUGAUUUUGUUUUUAGUGUGAAAAAUAUUGCUAUUGCUUCAGUCUUUAUGUACUCUGCUUCCUGAAAAAUUGGAUUAUCAGCAUGUUUCUGUUCUGUUACUGGUUGCAAGGUAUUUUCCGAAACCAGAUGUCUAUGUAGGAAAGGGGGAAAAUACUGUGUGUAUCGUUCUUUAGGAUGAUGUCCUAACAUACUAGUAUUGUACUGCGAUGGGGUUUAGAAGAUUACAAAUUAGAUUUCCCAUCCAAUCCACAAAUAUACUAGGGGGGGAAAAACAUAACACUGGAUCCAUGGUCAUAUAAGUAAGCACAAAUCAAUUGGGCAACUUUCACAUGAAUUUUUUCCAGAUCUUGUGACAGUUGAUCAACUUCUCGAGGCAUCCGUGCAAAAUUUUGACACUCUAAAAAACACCCUCAUGCUUCAUACUUACAGUACGGUGCAUAGGUAGAAUUUUAUACUGUAUAACGUCAAAAAUGAAGUUAGCUUUAGCAAAUGGUACAUGCUAACAUGCAUCAUUUCUCAUCUCGCUUAAAUCGUCACAAAAACUUCUAGGAUGGAGGGAUGAAGGGAAUAAUCAGUAUUACAUCACCUAUGCAUAGGAGUAAUGCAGUCACCUUGGCAAGCAUAAAGCAAUUGUAGCAAUAGCCUCCAGUAUUACUAAGGAAGACAGCAGCUACCUGUAACAACCUCCCGUAUUACGGGUGUGCCAAACAAAAUUAUACAAGACACAAAAGAUCUUUGAGCUGUAAUGUUCCGUGCUUUCAUAGCUUCAUCAGAUCAAUGUUGCCUCUAAACCAUAUCACGAACUGCAAAUUGCAGCUACUAUCUUGUGGCCUAUACGAUCACUAGUUACGAUCACCAAAUUCCUUGCAGUUAUUCCAUUAUCAAUCUCAAAUCUAGUGCUUUGGAAAACUAUCUGUCACACCAUUUCUGCUUACCUAGCCAACCUAAAGCAUGGUGUUCCGGAAAGCUGAAACUAGUCUUGGUGAUAACAGCAGGACAAAUGCCAAGAUCGAGCCAAAGAACAUCUUGGUCAGGUAAUGCAUCAGGUCCAUGCUGGAAUCAGUGUCUCCAGGCUUUCUGGUUGCUAGUGCUGAAGCAGAGGGCAGGGCUUCGACUACAGCAUCUGCAAGGUCGGAGAUGAAUGUUGAAGUACAUCCAAGAGCAGGAACCCGACCCCAGUUCUUAAUGCCUGAUUCUAGAGCCAACUCCUUGUACUCCAUGUCGAUUUCUUCCAAUGUCUCAAUGUGCUCGCUCACAAAGCUGUAUUUGUCAUAAAUGGCUCAGAUUACAGGCAAUAAAGGGUGGUAUGAAAACAUCAGUAAUCACAGCAACAUACUCUUGACUAGUAAAAGAGUAAAGCAGAUACUAGCAUAACGUAAAACCCCAUUAAGACAUUCAUGGAUUGUAAAAACUAAGAUCUCAGAUUGUGUAGUUGUGUUCUAUGAACCAGUUUUAUCAUGCAAAAGAUCCAUUUAAGGAACGCAUCUAAUUCUAAAAUUAUUUGAAAUAAGAUCUUCAUUCAUUAAUACAAUUAUACAAGGGAACAUGCAAGCUUUUGCAAACAGAUAAUAUGCACAUAUAUGUUAUAACAUUAAAUUCAUAUUUCAUAAGGCUUUCAGACGUUCAAGAUUGCACCAGAGGUACGAAUGUCAUAAAUACAAACAAAAAUGACGAGCCAACAUGCAUCAUGAAAAUGCAUGCGAUAAACUAGACCCAAGGAAAAAAAGAUCAUAUAGAAGCUACAUGUUCCUUACCUCAUUUGUACCCCCAAAAAAGGAGAAUUACGAGAUGGCCAGAAAUGCUAAACUUGAUUACCUUACUGGAACAGCCAGGAGGCUCUUCACACCCUUUUGACCAAGUUCUACUAAAACUUCAUCAGUAUAUGGCUUCAGCCAUUGAACUGGCCCCACCCGACUCUGCAUGUACAAUAAAUGUUAACACUAGUAAAUGGUGACUAGAAGGAACUGGUAACUUGGAACUCUAUAAACUUGACAUUUUCCAUUUCUAGUUUUCUCACAAGGUGAUCGAACAUAUUUGAUCAUUCAAACAUAAGUGCACAACUCAGAGGUUAGUCAAACAAGUACCAAUUAAAUUUUAAUAGCUUAUACCUGGUAUGCCAAAGUGUAACUAUUUAAGAUUCCUCUUGAUCUCAACUCCCCCAUGAUCAAAGCAAUACAAUCCUCCAUCUGAUCUCUGUAAGGAUCUCCAGCAUCCUCAACAUAGGUAAGUGGCACACCAUGUGCACUGAAGAAUAUCAUAACCUGCCAUUCAUUUUCACAACAAUAAAAAGUAUUGUCAGAAUGAAAUUAAAGCAGAAUGUUUUCAUGAUUAUCUAUAAACUAACUGCAAUUCUGAAAGUGUCAUGGAGUUUUUUUUUUGUUAUUGUCUUAUAGAACUAAACAUUUGCAUUUAGCUACUAUCAACACAUUUGUAUAUAAUGUCAAGUUUAUCUAGAGAAAGAUACCUACAACAAUGCCAAAUAAUAGUUCAAAGAAAAUUUCUCUUUGAAAAGUUUAUCUAGUGAAUGGCUGUAAUGAAAUUUGGAAUGUGUAGAUGAAACAAGUAAUCCUCUGCUAUCACAUGCUAACUGUAGAAUAAAGAUGGAGGUAGAAUUAGGAAUAGGGCACCUCUUCAGGAUUGGAAAAGGCAGAUAGUUCUUUUUCAAUUAGGUCAGCCAUUGAUUUCACAUAGCCAUCUCGUUGGUACCAUGAUUCAAUAAUGGAAAUUGGCAAACCAGAAAAAUAUGAAUCUUCCCUGCAUGGAAACCAAUGCAUUAGCAUUUCAGGUUCUUGUAGCAUCAAAGACAAUAGGACCUCAUAUGCUAGAACUGGUGUCUUUGAUGGUGCCUCGCCAACCCAACUCAUGAGGUCUAGCAGGUCCCAAAGGGAUGUCUUUCAUUGCGUGAGGGAAUGAUUAGUGGUAAUGUUUUUGUUGGUUGUGGUAAUUUCUUGAGUUUAAGUGUGUACGUAAUGUUCAGUACCUAAGGGUGUGGUUUGUGUUGUUUGGUUUCUUUAUCCUCUCUUAUUAAGAUAAAUAUAUGCAGCUCUCUGUGUGUUAGAGAAAAAUAAAAGGGCCUCAUAUGGAGAAGGGAUCCUACUUGACAAUGUCUUGGAGAACACGAAUGCUUGACCCACUCGUUGAUAUGGAGUACUGAGGGUAAAGUGGAAGAACAACGAGCUUGGUAAUCUUAUCCUUCUUAAUCUAUCAUUAACCAAAAACAAGAAAUAGUUAAUCAUCAGACAAGAGUUGGGUGGACAAGAAGGAAUAAUCAUGAAAUCUGUUUGGUAUGAAACUCAUAUAAGAUAGGGUAAAAAUGUCAAAUAGAAUCAUGCAAACAUUGACUCCACAGAAGAAAAUUAUAUUCAGAAUAACUACAUUCCAGGUUACAUGUCAUUCUAGCUCCCAAAUCUCGAUAACAAACAUACUUCAGUCUAAAGUUUAAAGAUUACUUAAAUUUACUUUUCUGAUACAUCACCACUACACCAUCAUUACUAAAAGGUAAAUAAAUAAAUAAAUAAAUAAAUAACUUUCAACCAAAAUUGUAGUAGCCAGGUCAUUGACUUUGUCAAUUUUUCACAACAUCUUUUAUUCUCUUUUUGGAUUCAACCAAAGGAUCCGCCUAAACCAGUGCUGCUUGCAAAGAUGGAGUUAGCUAUCAUUUGCUUAUUCAUCGCUCAUACAUGGACAGGCUAACGCAUAUGCAGGCGGGGGUUAUUAGGGACAACUCUACAUACACCACUCAAUCAGGGUACUAUGGUCUUUUCAACACAUGACAAUGGUUUUCUGCUAGAUGCUAGAAUGGCAUGCAUUUGGAAACCGAUUGAAUGCUGAUGAGAUAUAAAAAGUGGGAAUGAGAAUUUACUUGAUCAAUGGCUUCUUCUGUGAAAGGGUACCAAUACCGCAUCCCAACAUAUAUAUUUGCGUUCAAGUUUUUCUUUUCCAGAGCAAUCUUCAAAGCAUUUGCCUGAAAUAUUAUUUUACUGAGAAUGUGAUUUACACUGAAAUGAUAUCAACAUGUCUUGGAAGAUUUAGAGAUUAACAAGUUUUGAACAAGCUGAUAAACCACAAUCAAUAAAACAGGUCAAAAGUAAAGAAAUGCAGCAAUAAUUUCAAAACACAGUCAGCCUUGUGAACUUAUACCUGUUCAUCAGUAAUUUUCCUUAACGGAGACCCACCACCGAUUGAAGCAUACCCUUCUUUACUCUUAGGAGCUCUAAAAGUAGAAAUAAGUUUAGCCAGUGGUCUUUGAAGAAACCUGAAGAGUCUAGGGAGUCGAAUGAUAUCCUGAUCAAUAAAAAGAAUUAUGAUAAUUUUCAAAAAUGAACUUACGAUGAAGAAAACAAAUUCAGUAGACUUACAAGGAAGAUAGAUACUGAAUUUAGAAAUUCAUAUAAUUAAUGACAGAUCUUAGUAAAUUAGCUAUUGCUAUGUUCAGUAGCACAGACACACAAAAGUUUUUUUGUUUAAGUUGCCACUUAUUCAAGAUUCAACUACCAGGGAAAAGAAUUGAAAUGGAAACUUCAAUUGGUAAAACACACAAAUAAGGUUCUUUUUUUCUUUAGGCUCUGCAAUUACUAUGCUGAAUAGUUCAGAAGCCUGUAUUAAGGAGUUGCAUAUAACCAUUCAAAGUUGUCAGAAUACACUCCAUAGAUUGGCUAGAUACAAUUAAUGAACAGGUCCACUGACAGGAAAAUUAUAAUGGUGGUGGUACAGUGGGGUAUAACAACUUACUGGAUCAGCAAAUAGGUUGAACAAAAAUGGUUGAACAUCGUCGAGGGUCUCUGGACCACCAAGAUUUAAUAACAGUACUCCAAUUUUUUCAUCACUAACACUGGAAGGUACAACUUCAUCAUCAUCAAAGGUGGUAACUGCAUUUGCAGAGGAAGAGCUAGCAGAAAGAUUCCACUGAUUUUUAAGUACUAGGCUUCUGUAAGCCAAACGAGAGGAUCCAUUUGCUGCUAAUUGCAACGGCUUAACAUUCCCAUGCAAGCUCAGCUCAUGUUUGGUAGAACCAGUAAAACUUGUAGAGGCUGUUUUGCCACAUGACCUGCCAAUAGUAGAACAACCAAUCAAAUAUAAAACCCAUGAUGUAUGCUUGGAUGCCAAUGCCAACAGAACAGAUGAUCCAAUUUGGAAGACAAAACACACACACACACACACACAAUUCAGUCUGUCCAUCCCCAGUGGCAAUAUCAUGUAAGCUCAGCUUGUAAGACAACACAUCUCUAGAAGACCAUACAAUUAGUAAUGUGAAGGAUGAAGUGUUUAAUAGCAUCAUGCCCUGAUUCACUAUGGGUUCAGAUCAAAAUGUCGACUAGCUAGCACCAAAUUUGAUUUAGAAAUAUAACUGAAAUGCUUACAUAUGUUCUCAAAUGCUUAUACGUAACCUAAAUGUCCAAUAGCAUCAUGCCCUGAUUUAGCAAUAUAACUCAAAAUGGACCUUUUAAACUCAUAGGUUUCAGUUUUCUGUGUAUUACGAAAUAACCAGCAAAUAACAGAUAUCAAUUUUUGGGGGUGGGUCCCAAAGCAUUGACCUUCUUCCAGAACAUACAAACCUGAAUAACAUGGUUUGUAAAUCCACGAUGGUAUGCCAUCUUGCCUGAAGAUUUAGAUACCAUCAACUCUUCUAGUAACAUAUCUUGAUUUGAGGAUCGAACAGAAAUUGAUCUUACUUCAAGUCACCAAGUAUAAUAAUUUCCGAAAUGAGGGUUGCUCUAGUGGGGAGACAACGGAUCACUAGUGAAAAAAGAAUAUUAUAAUGGAAAAAACAAAUGAUCGUCGUAAACAGUGCCAGAAUCCCGUGGCUUUAGUGCCCCAGCCAAGAGCAGUGGCAAAUUGAUUAAUUCUAGGAUUCCUUACAGCAUUUUGACAUCAACCAGGGGCGGACGGUACCCAACAAAGGACAUGGGUAUACACAUGUACACCCGUGCAUCCAAAAAAAAAAGGUCGAAGUUAGUACGCAUAACACAUGUAUACGCUUGUGAUUAGAUCAGAUCCGAAUACAAAUAGCCAAAUAGCUCAGGUUAGGGUUGGGGCGAUCAAUUUUGCGCAGCAAGGAACGGCAGAGAAGGGGCGGACGGGCAAGGGCAUACCCAGUGUGGGGAGUUCCCGUCGCCGGCAAAAGCGCCGACGAAGACAUGGGCAGCUGGGCGCAGGGCGUCGCCGGUCACCCUAGAUUUGUUGUCGGCUUCGCGCAGGCGCGGUGAACGGGAGAAGAGAAACGAUUUGCUCUAGCGUGAAGAGGAAGACCAGCAGAGCACCCCGCCGCGAAAGAAAAUGGUGGGUCAAAGUCAAACGCGGGGUCCACACCACAGGGACAGAAACAUGCAGCACGAAAUGACACGAAUCCACAACUGCCCCGCCGCCGUCGACGCAUUUGUGCUGAAACCUCAGGGACACACCGCAAAAUUGGAUUUAAUUUAAGAAGUUGUUUGUAAAAUAAAGAAAAGCAAAGGAUGAGUUGCCCACAAGUACACCGCACCUGUGGAAAAUAUAUAUCGAGAAAGAAAAAUGAAAAAACUACACCGUACAGGAGCAAUUUCUCAAAAGUGCACAUGUGGAUCACAAACUGAAGAAACUGUACUUACGUACUCCCUCCAUACCGUAAAACAAAUGCAAUUAUGGGAGGUUAAUGUAGUUUAAGUUUAAUCAAGUUUAUAGUGAAUAAUAUUUAUAUUUAUAUUUCUAAAUAAUUAAUUUAUGAAAGUAUAUCCUAUAACUUAUCUAACUGUACUUAUUUCAUAUCAUGAAUGUUUAGUAAUUUUUUAUAUAAACUUAGUCAAAGUUUAAACCGGUUGACUUCUCGAAAAGUAAGGAUUGUAUUUUUUUUAUGAAUGGAGGGAGUAGAAAUCAAUAUUUUGGAAAGACUUCUAGCUCUAGGAAUCAACCGUAGACAAACUGAGUUGAGUGCCCUAUGCUCUUUGAACUUUUUAAGGCCUUGUUUAGAUCGAAAAAGUUUUUGGAUUUUGGCACUGUAGCAUUUUCAUUUUUAUUUGAUAAACAUUGUCCAAUCAUGGAGUAACUAGGCUUAAAAGAUUCGUCUCGCGAUUUACAUAUAAACUGUGCAAUUAGUUAUUCUUUUUAUAUAUAUUUAAUGUUCCAUACAUAUGUCGCAAGAUUCGAUGUGAUAGGGAAUCUUGUAAAGUUUUAGGUUUUUAGGUGCAUCUAAACAAGGCCUAAGUUUACAGCUAAAAAGUUUUAGAAUGUAACAAUCUAAACAUGCCCACAAUAUAUAGCUACAACGAUCAGGGUUGUUUGGCUGUGAUCACGGCUGCUGCCGCAGCAGCUUUUUCAUUUCUUACUUGUUACUACAGCUGCACCUGAACAACCCUAGAGGUGGUGAUCGAAGAGAAUGGCAUGUGAUUCGGGUUUUUCCUCUCACAUCAGAUAGGAUUUGGUCAUUCUUGCAAAAAUAUUGGUAAAUACUAGGUUUCCUAUUAGGACUUGAGUAUUCUUUCUCUCUUUUUUUGCAACAAAUAAUAUUGAAGCUUCUCGGUUGUGUUGUCCAAUGACAGUUUAUUUAGGUUUCCUAUUAGGACUCAAGUUUUUUUUUUGCAACAAAAAAUAUUGAAGCUUCUCGAUUGUGUUGUCCAAUGACGCACCACUUGUCUCACCUAGCGCUCAAGUAAAUCGCAACUAAUUUUCAAAUAUAUGCUCUGUUCCAAAUUUCCACGGUAGGCUAUGUGGCAGCUUUUGUACUACGAUUUUUAUGGCGGCCUCGUCGGUAACCAAACAGAUGCCUCUGAUUGUUAUGGCGAGCCGCCACGGCUGUGGCGUGUCAACCUUUGGCAAUCAACCAAACACGCCCUCAAGUUGACAAGUGAAAUAUUUCUCACCAGAACCGUUUGUAAGUAUCAAGUGAAAAGUGAAAAUUUCUCACCAGACCCUCCAGUCAAAUAUUUCUCACCAAAACCGUUUGUAAUUCUCUAGUGAAAAGUGAAAUAUUUCUCACCAGACCGGUUUGUAAUUCUUUAGUGAAUCCGUUUGAAAUUCUUGAGUGAAACGUUUCACCUUGGCGUUUGCUAGCAAUUAUCAAACGCUCCUUAAGGACGCCAAUGUCCACUGCACAACUGCUCUAAAACAUUGGUUGAAGACAUGCCUGCCAAAACAUUUCUAACGAAAACACGAAAUUCCAUAGGCUUAGGAUAUUAGCACCCCAAAUAGAUGCAAAUAGCUCGCCCCGCACAAGAUGCAAAAAGCACACAACAUAGCCACCACACAGAUACAAUGCAAAUAGCGUCCACAUAAUAGUAGCGAAUUCACAGAUAUAAUAGUAACAGUAGCGAAUUGGACGCAUACAGCAACAUAGAUAUUGGAAAACUCCAAUCCAAUCUUCUCAGUUUUUCCAAAACAUUUCACGUCAUAAUCCGAAUCCAUUCUUCCAACAGUUUUUUUCCAAAACAGUUUUUCCAUAACCAUCCAUGACAUAAUCCAUACUAGAACAAAAAUAGGAUAGUAUUAUAUAGAUGAUAACCAUCGACAUGAGGUAAAGAUGAUAACAAGCAACAUGAGGUAAAGAGGGCAUGCCCGCCUAGCACUUAAUCUCCUUCAGACCAUGAGCAAAAUAGAGGAAUGUCGGGUCAGUGGCACCUUCCUUGUAGUAAGCGAACACUAGGCUUCCAUCAUCAUGCAUACUCUCACCAACAAAGCUAUUACACAGAAAAGUAUCACAUUAGACAAAGUUGUAUAAAAAUCAGGGUGAAAGCCAAAAAAAAUGUUCACAGAAUUAUGCAAAGCAACAUGAAUUUAAGACCACAGCAAAAUUAAGGUGCAGAUUUCAAUAAACCAUUACAUUGUGCAUGUAAAAUAGGUAUUGAAACAGCACAUAAACCAUUACAUUGUGCGUGUAAAAUAGGUAUUGAAACAGCACAUAAACCAUUACAUUGUGCGUGUAAAAUAGGUAUUGAAACAGCACACCACAGUAACAUAAAUAUAAAUAAAACUAUAACAGAUGCACGAAACAAUUAUGCAUGGCAAAUAAAUAAUCACAACGACAGACACAUUUGUCCAUGUGAACAUUCAAUGACCAAGACAAACAACAUAUGAAUUUAUUAACAAAAAGGAAAUGAACAAGACAACACAGUUUUUUCAUCUAAAUUGACUAGCAGAAAAGAUAGGAUGGUAGUUCACAUAGUAUUUUACUAACAUAAAUAAACCAACAAUAGAUGAAAUGUAUUUUCAACAGAUUAUGACAUGCAUUAUCUAUAGAUUUUUUAGUAUAUAACUUACAACUGAAGAUCUUUGAGCUUGCUAAGAAGGAACUUGGUGGCACCCUCAAUGCCCUUCUUGAAUUCAUCUGCCUUCUCUGGCUCCAGCUUGCCAGUGAGGUUCUUGAUGUAGCGCUUAAUGUUAGUCACAAAUGUUUUCUUGUCAAAUGUGGGUUGCUCCUGCAAACAGGAAUACACA
rnacentral:lncRNA from 1 species